CAAACUCACCUCAAUACUAGACUUAUUAGCUAAUAACAAAGAUGCUAAAGAAGAGAAGCUACAUCCACUACCUUCACCCUGACAGGCUAAGCGGAUGAGCGUACCAAGGGACUUACUGACCAAAGCUGCUAACUAAUGCGACUCCAGACAAUCUACAACUCUGGAUUCCUCGCAACAAACAAGCUACCAACAAGCAACAUUGAGUAUAGAAUCAAUAUGGUAUAUAUAAUAUGAAAACACUUCUAUACUAACUAUAGGUGUCGCGCUCACGUAUGAGUUAUUAGAGUUCGUUGCUUCUUUGUUGCGCUUACUGAGUUAUUAGGAAACUGAAACCACCUUACUGCAGUAGCUGUAGUAGUAGCAGUAGGAAUAGUGGCCAAAUAUACUUCAUUCAUUCGUCUUAGUAGUCUUAGUGAUGUAGUAUACCUUCGUUACCUUCCCUUAGUCCCAUGCAGUAGUCGGAUUACCUUCGUUACCUUCCCUUAGUCCCAACACAGCUGACAUCAAGCAUUCCUCUCUUAAGUAAUCCCUUGAGGCGAGAUAAGCCUAAGACCUGAUAAUGCGGCAUCCACCCACCCGCUUUAAGGACCGAGCUACCCACAUUGAAGGUGCUGAAAGUCUAACUAUUAACAAUAAAUGAUUUCGGCAUCUACCGUAGCGCAGACCGAGCCACAUUGAAUGAAGGUGCUGAAAGUCUAACUAUAACAAUAAACGAUUGAAAGAUCUAGCUUGUAAUUAGCCAACCCUUCUCUCUAUCACUCCUUUGGAGGAAAGACCGGUAUAAUCAUUCUCUAACGCGAGAAAGCAACUACUUGAACAAAGAAAGAAGGCAGGCAGCGAGGUUAAGGAAUGCUAUUAAGACUCGAUUUAGCUACACCUUAUAGAGCUCCAUUAAGCCAAGCAAGAAGUCAAUUGUGGUUAUAGUAGCUAGCUCAAUAGCGGAUAGAGAUGCAGCCUCAGAAGCCGAAGCAAGAUCCGGUGAGGAAGCUGUGCGCAAGCAAGUACUAAUAUUCUACGGGUAUUAUUAAGGGUCUUCAUGAAAGUAUAGUUCCAGAAUCCGCUGGUAAAGAAUCCUUAUAUGUUUCCUCGGCGCGUAAGGGAGCUCGUUAAGUCUUUCUUUAAGUUGAAGCAUAGAUCCAAUUCAGAACUGGAAGUAGGGGUUGGGCAAAGGUCAAACAAUACCCAUCCAUCUAAUCUACCUCAGGCAACAAAGACAUAUGAAACAAGGGGUGAAAAGACAGAUUCCACUCUUCCUCUAACUGGAACUGGGGAUUCCACUCUAAAGUCACUACUAACCAAGCAACUACGAAGGCCAAGUCGACAACAACACUAGUUUCUUUCGCAACGUCUUUCGAAAGGGCUCAAACCUUUUCUUAUAGUUUCUAAGCACCAAUACGGGCUCAAACCCUUUCUUAUAGUUUCUAAGCACCAAUACUAGACUUGACUCGAAUUCCAUACUCUCCGCUUAGUAUUGCAGCCCGAACUCCCGUAAGUAAAGAAUUAGAUUGAGCUGAUGCUGAUGCAUGACGUCUUGUUUACCUUGUCUCAUUUCUAUUUGACUCUCUUGCUCUUGCUGGGCAUCUCAUCUUUUCUCUCUUAGAACUCGUAAGUCAAACAGGAAUCUUUCUUGCACCCGACGAAAACAGGACAUUCUCUGGUCGACUUAGCGCUUGCAGCAGAUUUCCUUUCUACAGCGACCUAAACUCAUAAGUCAGAAUGGAAUGGAAGUGAAGAGCAUCAGGUGGGUAAGUUAUCUUCUUCUAUAAUACAUACAUAAUGAUUCUUUAGUCCUAAUCUAGAGCGGCAGGGAGCUUAGAGACAAGCUACGUAGUUACCAAGUGCUGAGGCGUUCAGUUUAGCGAGGAAAAAGGGAUGCAGUGUGUGGUUAGGUUUACUCAUAUCUAUCUUUCUUGGUGGGGGCGCUAUCAAAUACUCUUUCCUUCGAGUUGAGUUCACGAAAACAGUACUUAUUCUGUGUCCUGCGGCUUUAUUCCAUAUUAGGAACUACGGAACGCGCUAGAUUCAAUUAGUUCUCUGUCUUCUCGUAAAGAAACAAGUAAAUAAACUCCUUCCCUUUGAUUUGGAAUUGAACCGCUCGUCGACAACACUGGCACCCAAGGAGACUCCACCUUAGUACACCGCUUGCAUUGACUUUCCGCUUGCUUCAUCUCUCGUUGACUUAACUCGCACCGCUACUGCACCCAAAACUAUUACUACAACUCGCUACCGCACCCCAACCAAAAAGUAUUACUACUUGCUUCUGUCGCCUGCAUCCUCACUGACACUUCACUUUAAUGCAUUGAUUGGACCACUACAAGGGGCUGAAUAAGGCCAGCAACUACUCAUUAAGUAAUUAAGGGAAAGCACUACUCGGCACAGAUAUAAUUCCUGAGCUGGGCGCAUUUCUUUAGUUGGGUACAGAAAGAUGGAUAUUCGAAUUAAUAGCAGUCAGGUUACUUACUUACAUAAGUUGUUGUGCACAUUCUUUGAUUUCGUCUUGUGCCCUAGAGAGAGAGAUAGUUUGAAAGUGAGAUUCUUUCUAUUGGUGCUAUUGGAGUUGCAGGGUGCGUUGAGCCAGCAGUAACCAGUGAAGGAAGCAAUGCUGUUUAGAGUAAGGGAAGUGAAUCAAUUGUAUACUUUGUCGUUCAAUUCCAUUCUAUAGUUUGCUUUCCAGAGUUAACCUGUGCCCUUAAGUAAUUGCCCGUGUUUUAGUGAGUGACUGAGUUAGUUGUUUCAUGAAAUACAGUAACUUGGCGCCUACUAGCUAUGUCUUUUAAGAAUCCUACUUGCUAUGUGUUUGUUUGUGAGUUCAAAGAGACAGAGCCAGGGGUUUAGGAUCAGAGAAGAGCCAGCCCCUCUUGCUACUCGGGAUGGCGCCCUCAACUCUGGUAUGGAAUUGAAGUUAAGAGCACAGAGGCAGCGAGGGAAUCAAAUUCAAGUUGUUUUUGUUCACAGAGGUAUGACAGCAGGGCCGCUCUUUCUCUAGCCUAAGCUUCCUAUGACUUUCAACGAGCAUCCCUACUUUCUAUGAGCCUCAUUCAGGUAUCAUUCAACGAGCAUCCCUACUUUCUAUCUUAACUACUGGAAUUCACAGGAGCAGUAGUACCGGAGUUACAGAGCAAGAGGGUAAAUCUUAUAGGCAGAAAUGACUUAUAAAGACAGUUUCUUAGCUUAAUGGGAAAUACUUCUAAAAACAUCUUGGCGAUGAGAAAUCAUGCUAUUUUAGUGUAUAGAAAUGAGUUACCUAACUGCAUCUUUAGUUGGCGAGGGGGGGAAGCCUUGAGACAGUAGUUUCAGAGUGACCUAAGGCUGAUGGGGGAAAGUCAGAUGUGAGAUCCGGAGUGUCAGUUUGCUAGUAAGGAGUAGCUUGGUGGACUGGAAGUAUUAGGAUUGAGUGCCCACUAGCAGAGUCUUAUUAGAGCUCGGGUCAUACAAGAAUGAAAGCAGAGUCAUCAUUGCAUAGGAAUCAAUGCGUGGUUUGCAGGGGUAUGAGAACCGACCUCGUCCAUUAGCUUGCCCGACCCUAGGGCUACCUAUUUACAACCCUAUGAAUGGAAACUAAGAAUGACAGAGGAGAGUUUCAGUUUGCAAGUAAACAUCCAAGUUUGCAAAUACAGAUGUGAGAUAAGGAGUCUAUAACGCCUCAACACCGACACAUAGAAACAAGGAAUGAAAACAGAAAGUAGGAAUUACAGAAUUGAAAGCGAGGAGAGGUUUAGUUGAAAGUACGAAUUCAGGUAUAAGAGAUGCUCUAGUCCAGAGGAUAGGUUUUACUAAUUUCUACUAAUUUCAUAGGCAGAGUCAAUUACUGGCUUUGAAGCUAGGUAAGAGAUCUUUGUUGGCAAGAAAUAAGUAAACUAGUGAGUGAAAUACAUUUCAUACAAGAACUGCGGAGUUGCUGUAAGUCCAGACUACUACUUGUUGGGGCAAGAACCACAUUUGAAUAACAGACCUCCACUCCAGGCAUCUAGAAAGCUGCCCUUGAGUCACAGAAUGAAACUAAGAACUAUAAGUAAGGUAGAGAAUAACUAUAUGUAAGGUAGAGAAUAACUAUAAGUAAGGCAGAGGCCAUUAUAGUAAGGCUCUAGUUGCAUUCCCUGUUCCUGUGCUAAAGUAGGGUUAGGGUGUUGUAGUCAAAGAAUGAAACCACUAUUGCAUCUAGUUUACUUACCACAAUUAGUACAUCUGAUACUAACCCACCGGAGGCUCACUAAUGAGUAGUUGAUUGGCGAGAUGAAUUAGGAGAAUUGCCUGUUCCAGGCGAGGGAAAGUGGAAAGUUUCGUUGAGAGUGUUGGUGCUCUAGCCCUAAGUCUAGUAAAGUUGUACUUAGAAGCAGUUAGAAAGCCAAGUUCGGGACGGGGUUGCCCUUAUAUCAAGUCCAGUUCAUAAGAAUCAAACUAAUAUUACCAAGAAUCAGAAUUUCACCCUUAUUAUAACCCGUAACAGAAUGAACAGAAUCAUUAGGGGUAGUGGUCUCGCUUUCGAUAAGAUCUGAUAACUUGACUUGGUAUAGCCGGUUUUCUUCUGUAGUUUUCUACCUUCCGUAGUUUCUUGUCUUUGAGUGGAAUUCUUCCUUUCAAGUUGAGAGCGCAGUUACCCUCUUAAUUGACUUUCACUAACUUAUACUUACCAGUUGCAUUCCGUAUUUGUUGCUCUAGUCGCUGGGUGUGAUAUUAGAGAUUCCAAAGCAGCUUCUUAUCUCGGGUGUUAGAGAUGAUAAAGCUUGUAUAUUUAAGGAUAUAGAAAGGCAAGUCUCUUUCCGUUCUUGAACCAGUAAAGAAGCUAGUUCAAAGGCUAAGGAUACCCCUUAUAGUAAAUGGCUAGUCUAGUCCGUUUACCAAACCCCGGGCAAAGUGAAAGUAUACUUAUCCUAGAAGGGACCUUCACAUAGACAUAGGUGGACGGGUGCAAGUACUGCUCUUGUAAGGAGUGAGUUUACUUCAAACUGUCGGAAUUGAGAAACUAAGAUUCCAAUAGUUGCCCUUAUUUUAAGUCGCAGAGGUUGCCAGCAGCUUAGCUUGUUUCAAGUUUCCAGUGGAGGUCAGUUAGAAAAGUGGAGUGGAAAGUAGAGUUAAGGGGGAAAGUCCUGUGUGCAAGUUCAAUUUAGAAUAUACCAACACAGUAGAAGUAUAGUAUAAGAAAACAUAGUCUAAUUUCAUAUAGGAGAAAGGAUGAAACAAAAGAAUAGAUUGAGUCAGCUACCCCAGAAAAAGGAAAGGAAUGGGAGCUGUGCCAAGCCUGAGUGAAAGCGUUAGUCCGGCCUUGGUUCAUUCUUGCAUUCAGUAAAGGAGAUAGUAUUAGUGAUUCGGGCCAAGUAACAAGAGUAGUAAAGAGGAAAGUAGUUUCAUUAUAAGUGUAAUACCAGCAAGCCCUAUCCAUUUGACUUAUUGAUUGAAUUCUGUGUUUCAUAUCCGUAUUUGUUUACAGAGCCAGAGAAGAGGAGAGAUUCUCCAUUAAGUACUGGCUCGGGUGCUUGUGUUAAGCAUAGAAUAAAGCUAUCUCCUUUUUAGGCUUGGCCCCUCCUAAAUGAUGGAUUAUCUUUAUAUAUGAUUCCACUCGGGAAACUCGGUCUUCUACUAAUUCUACUAGUCGUUGCUUGUCUAUCUGUUCCUUGGCUGAGUGUCUUGGCUGUUAGAGUGCAUUUGAAACCCAUAUCUGUAGGGUCGGUAACUACCCUUGUGCUAGUGCUCUCAAGUAGGAAAGGAAGAAUAGAAAUAGAAUCAUUAGCCAGAGGGGACGAACUGUUGCUGAGCUAUAAACAAAAGAAGAAAACCGGCUUCUGAACCAUGUGUGCAAGAUAAGAAAGUAUUGACUCGGCAUAGAAGCGGGAAGGAACUCAACUUCAAGUCGAGGUAAGUAAGCAGUUAGAGCAGACCUGUAGUUAACAUCCACUCAGUCAGGGAAUGUGCUAGAUGUCAAUGACAAUGAAGUAUUAUUGGUGCGGGUAUAAGUGGUGGAUCGAAUGCAAGGGAAGCUAUGAAAGCUAUCCGGCAAGGAAGCAAGCUUGAGUCGAGGUCGGGGUUAACACUUAUAAGAGUGCGGGUAGGGCUUUCCCCUUGUAAUAGAGUUUAGGUCGGGCAGGUACGAAAUACUUGUUAGUCAGGUUGACUUACUUGCUAGUUAGGGUGUGGGUAUGGCUUGGCUUGUGUCAUUCUGUAUUGGUAGUCAGAGGAGAGUCGACUUGCCUAGUGUCUUGGCUGUUGCCAUAGGUAUGGUUAUCGGAGUGAGUUUGUUAGUGUUAGUAGAGGCUUUCAGCACCUUGCUUCUUUUCAUUUCCAUUGGAAUGUUCUGCUUUUCUACAGUACAAAAGCCUUAUGAAUUAGUAUUGGAAAGCUCUUUCCUUUCCUUGCAUUCGGCAUGGUUUUGGGACUUAGGCGGAGCCGUACCUUUACCUUCUUGGGGUUUAGGCCGAUACUCAUGUCUAUCAAUAACAGCAACUGGGGCAAGUGAACUUUAGCUAUGAAUGGAAUCAUGGUGCAAAUGAACUUAUUAACUCAACUCCGAAAUACAUAGACAGCUUAUGUCCUAUGCCUUCUUUAACAGGUAGGGGACUAUAAUCAAUUCAUAAAAAGUCGUUAAGUCACCUUCUUGCUGAGUUUUUCCACCAAGCAGACCUGAGAUAGAAGUCCAACCUUAAACCUAAUUUCACUUCAAGUACUAAAAACAAGUAAGUGGGAUCCCGCCUAGGCAAUUCAAUAGAAAUACAUUAGGUGUUUUCCCUCAUUGACUAUUUUCUUAAAAGGAAAGACAAAAGGGGGUGACAAGACCAGCGCAGCACGCCCGACUGGAAUAUUGACUAUCCCGUAGAACAGAACUGACCUAGUCACUCGUUAAGGAGCUGGUAAUCAUGGAAUAUAGUAUAUGUAGGUUUAGGUCUUCCUAGAGCGAAGCCACAUGUGUUUUAUACGUUCUGAUCCGACAUUAAGAAUGAUUUACUUCACUUCAUCCGCGAGUAAGGAUAGCCCAUUACGAGGUUCCGUUUCAAGGGAACAGUCUCAAGCGCGAGUCAAUCAGUAUCUGGGUGCGAGUGCGGUUAAAAGCGGUUCCAUUAUCUUUUCCGUUCUGGUUUUGUAUCCGAUAUAAGCCGAAUGCAAGUAAGGGUAAGGCGAGAAAUCAAUAAGGGAGUUUCACCUGGAAAGAUAGAGCAGGGUAUAAAGCUUUCACCGCUAAGUCUCAAGAGAGGAUUGAGCUCGAGAAUCAGAAUCCGCUGUUACCCUGUUGAGUGAGACUUUGAUACAGUAAUUUCAUUAUGACUUUUUGCCGAGAAUAAUCCGUAGAAAGAUGAAGUUUCGAGUGGUGGCGAAAAGAAGCUAGUUGAGUAUAGUAUGGGAGAAGAAUCCUGAGAAGAAUGCAAGAUAAGUAGAACAAGCAACGGCUACUAGAAACUCAUAUUCUCACAUUAAACAAGUAACGAACGACUAAACUGUACCUGAAAGAAGCAACAGUGCACUCUCCUUAAAAUCAGCUAGCAAAGGAGCCGGAAUCAAAAAACUCAUUUAUGGUUUCGGGGCGCAAGUCAGCUACAAGCGGUUCUAAAUUAGUUGUCGACUCUAAAUCGGGGUCAGGAUCCGUGCCAAAGUAAGCAGGAAGUCGUUCUUGAUUGAGUAGAAAGAUAAGGAGCAGUGUAUCUACUCGCUUCUAUAUCUUGAAAGUAAGCUAACACAUUAUCCCUUCCACAAAGCCAGGAAAGUCAAAGAAUAGAAUAUAAGAUUGGCACCCAGCUUUCGAUACGGCUGCUACUACUUCACUGCCCUAACUCAGUUGCUUGUUUUGUUCUAAAGCCCUAACUCAGUUGCUUGUUUAGUUCUAGAAUAAGAUAAGUAUUUGGGGUGGGAGCUGGUCUACUGGUCUAUGUUAUUAGGCAUCAAUGCACUAUAAGAGCCGAUAGAUUGUUGAGUUUCUGGGGGAAUUUUCCAUUCCAUGAGUAGCGGUGCGAGUUCCACUAUCAGCAAGCUGGUUCGAUUCUUGGUGUUCUAGCUCAAAGGCUGUUGCGCAAAGUGAAUGAGUGCUAUCCCAUAGAAAUCGGGGAUUGAAUGCGAAGGCUCAAGUAAGAGGAACAAGCUAGUCUGAUUCAUAAGAAAGGGAAGCGGUAAGUCUAUUCGUUGCUUGUUUAGUGCUCCUGUCUGAGGGAAGUAUCAAGGAGCAGGCGCAAAGAGGUCAUUUGCAAGCGAUAAGGCAGUAGUUGACUCUAAGCUAACGGGAGUAAACUACACUUCCAGUCUUGUUUCGGGUACUUUUGUGCUUGUGUAGAUGGAAGCGCUUGUUAAGUCUAGUCGGUUCUAGUUUCAUCAGAUACAUAAGCAGUUUCAAGAUAGGAAGCCGAGCCAAGAGAAUCAACUGUUUCAUAAGCCUACUUAUAUGAAUCAGCAAGUGCAACGUCUCCAACAGAGGUGAGUGGCUCUAAGUCUAAGUAAGGAGUAAGCUUAGCAGUUGAGUAUCAAGGUUCAGUUCCAGUGUCAUCUACGAUUUAAUCAGAGGCGGAAGGGAAGGAAUCCUUUUUCGAAUGCCCAAAUAGCUGUGUUGGUUACGAGCCGAGCAAGGGUCUUGCGGAGAUAGGUCAUUGGCCAAAGUCUACAUCAGCAAGAGAAGAGAGCCUAAUUCAGCAAGUCCUAAUUUCACUCUACAGGCAGAGAGAAGCUGCCACAUUAUUCUCAGGUUUACGCGUCUAAUAUAAUACUAAGAAAUCAAUUAGCUAGUCUAAGAAUUCCACCUCUUUCUCGUCAACCCAGGUAGGGCAUCCAGGACAUACCAGGUUCUACCAGGGCCCAAUCAUAGUAUAAAGAGGAGUUUUCUUGCGGAACGCACUAAUAAUCAAUCCAUCAAAGCCGCAGUAAAGUCAAUAAUGAAAAGGAAUGAAUCAAUUGACUGCUUAUUUACAGCUAAAGCCCUAAUCCUAAGUCCCGAGAGGAGCGAAGAUGCCAUGGUGAAUUCUCAUUCUGCUGCUGACUUAGCGGUUACUACUGACUGACUUGAUACUGCUGAUUAUCCUUAUUAUGCUUUAACACCAUCUUUAGAGUUCUUUCCUUCCUCAGUAGUUGCUCGGCAGUGCCGCUAGUCAAUUGAAAGUGUGUCUCUCGACCCCGAGUUUAGUCUAUCUAUUUCGUAUGAGAGGAAAUGAAAAAGGGGGAGAACUAACAGAAGCUUACUUGUUUUCGUACUUCCCCCCUACCCUAGAGAAGAAUCAAAGGCAGAAGAUGAAUCUGCGUCAGCGCCAGUGAAUUCUCCGAGAUCAGUAGAAGAAACAGAAUCCGGGGCCAUAUCCGAUGCUCUAUCCGGAGUAGGAGAUCCGUUGGCAAGAUACUUAACUGCUUAUUCUCUUUGCAACUUGCCUGGAACUUAACCUUUCCACUUCUACUCUAUUGUACCCAAUUGUUAAUCUUUAUGCACUAUAUCCUUUAUUCUUAUACCCUAUUUAGUAGUCUUCUACUUAUACUUAUUCUACUUACUUGUCUAAUUCAAUUAUGCCCUAUUCUUUCUUAGUAGAGGUCUCUAUAAUAAGUUGUUGCGGUAAACCCUUGACUACUUUAGCCAACACCGAGAUAUUGAACUGCUUCAGAUGACACUAAAGUAAGCUCUUAUUCUUGUGCCGAGUCAAAGUAGUUGCGAGUAGCUUGGACCCUAACAUAUACAGAUUUCAAAUAAUGCAUUUACAUUAGAUAGAAGUGGAUAACAAAAGAAAUAGGUACCGAGUCAUGUGUUUGGGCACCCGUUUCCCUUCCUAGGCAAUGUAGCUAAUGUCACUAAUUUCAUAGCCAGAGGAGAGGCUCCAUGAAUUAAGGGCACCAACCCUAGCUUGUAUUGAAUUCAACUCGAAACUCCUCACUCAGGUAUUAUACGUCACUCUAAACUCUUGCUUGUUGGGCUCUUCCGGAGGUAAAGAAGAAUCCCGCUCUUUCGAUGGUCGGAUACUAGGUGUACUCGCCUCUGAAGGGAGAUUGUACUCGUCCCUGUCCGCUUUGAAUGUUGGUUUGGAGUGGAGGUACUCUCAAUCCCUAUCAGUGGUUAGCAGUCCUCGUGAACCCCAGAUGGAAUGUAUUCUGGGGAAGUAGUAGGAAAACCAGAGUUCUUAGAGCGUACCUGGCGGAAUGGUUGGAUGCAGGUAUGGGCGCUCUUGUCUCACGUUCGGAUAGUUUCCGAUAUGUCCAACUCCCUCCUGUCCAUGCUCUAACUUCGUUUAGUGCUUUGUUCUCCCUUUAGGGUCAAUGUCGAUCCUGAGAUCCAACGCUUUGGCCUAAUGUGGUAGGGCACGCACGACAGCUUUCUCUAGCGACGAGUCGAGAAGAAGGUUCGAAGAACGCAUAAGAGUGAUAACCAACACCAACCCACCCUUCUGUAUAACCUAUUAACAUUUGUGAAGCGGCUGGAUGCAUAAGGGAAGUCAACCCGAGUGAACCGACCUUCGGGACUUAUUCGAACGAUCCGGAUGUCUUCCUCUGGAUUGGAAAUAGACUCCUGUAAGUAGACCCCCUAUACUCAAGCUUGCACUGAUACCACACAGCUUCAGAAGCCAGUCCUUUUUUUGGUAUUCAUGGCGGCAGGAGCGGUUCCGUAAGUAAAGGAAUGCGCUCGCUAUUAUGUAUUAUGGCCCUUAGAUCUAUCCCUAUUCUUCUCCAGACACUCACUCCUUUGCGGCGGUAAGCUUGUCUCUGUUACUACUGAGUUAGGAGUUAGAAUACCAAUACCAGAGUCCGGAGUAACUGAGCAAGAGGCUAAAGAUGUUAGGAAGAAAUGCAUUUAUUGAACAGGGAAGACAAAGCGGAUGAGAUAUAUAACUCCCGAGCAAAAUGAAACCACUUAAAGACCUUUUUUGAGGCAGGGAAUGAGGCCACGGAGCAGAGGAGAACAACCAAACUACAUGAGAACAGAACUCUUCUCUUAUCAAUAGGAAUAUCAUCCUUUUUGAGCAUCUAUUACUUCAUCAUGCAGAAUAGGAACGAUUUCAAUGAUACCAAUAGUACGCAGAGUCACUUUUUUCUUUCGCACUGCUUAUAUACUAAACAUGCUUCUUGGAUUUGUCAGUUCAUCAUUGAAUUGUUGUGGAAAGAGCUCCGUUAGCUAAAGAACAAGGCUUCUUAUCAAAGAAACUGAGAUUCGGCUCCUGCUGAGAAUCUUUUUGAUGCUGGUUAUCUGCAUACUGAGUAUCAUCCUCAUCCUAAACAACUGAACUUUGAUGCUUGGACCACUUAGCGCUGAAGAAGCACUGCAUUAUAGUUAAGGCUCUACAGGACGAGAUCCACUUGCUUUUGCUACCCUGACUCGAGACUGUUCCGCUUAACUACUGAGUGGGCAUUCGAAAAGGGAUUCGGCUUCCACUUCUAUAUACUUGGACACUGAAUCACUUACAGCAACACCUGCUUUGCUUACCGCAUCGAACUGACUUAAGUGACUGAUUGACUUAGUGCUGAAGGAAGAACUGAAAUGAGAGUACAACCAACUCGGGGGGAGAGCUAAGGAAGGUAAUAAUCUCGGUAAAGGCAAUCGAGUAUUAAUAAGUUCGAAAGGUCUUGUCUGUGUUAAUAUUAGGUCACGCCAAAAGAAAGAGAACGAGCGUAAGGAGCAAGCCAAGUCAAAAGAAGAGAAAUAAGUAGUAAGCCAGUGUUUUACCUUAUGACAGAAGAGGUCAACUAAGAAUCUUAUGUAGAGUAAGGAGUAAGAACUCAGUAAGCGCAAUAAACAAGCAACAGAGAAAGAAAGAGUGAUAGGUGAAGCAACAGAAUCAAACAAGCUACGGGUAGAUAGUGAUAGUUAAGUACUAUACAUACAUAUAGGGUUAGGGGCUCGGCUCCCUCUAGCUUAAUGAAGGAGAGUCAAGGAGUGAGUUUCACAGGGGUGCCUCUAUGAUAGAUAUGAGUUUAGUUUGGAAGCAAUGCAGUAAGAACUCGCGUAAGCCGAACACCAAAGAAGAGAGUUCGAGCAAACAAGUAUUUUAGUAAAGGAGAUCAGUAAGUCUAAACUAUUGUAUAGUAAAAGAGAACAGCUCGUUCAUUCGAGUAGGCUGGCAGUAGUUCCAUCAAAGUAUCUAGUAGCCGGAGUAGAUGUGUUGUGUUGUAUCAAGGACCUACUUACUUAAUACGCAAAGCCAAGAGAACCUAAAGAAACCCGGAACUUAUAGACUAGAAUUGCUCGCCCGCUAAGAAAGCCUUCACCCCUUUGUCCUUCGAAACUCACUUUAGCUAUAGUAUUUUGCACUGUUACUUGUUAUGUUACGUAACUCCGUAAGCUUAAGUAGCUCGGAACUCACGUAAGCCGAACACAGGACUCAAAAGAAGUUGAAGCGCAGCCUAGCAACUAGCAACUAAGCUUGGCGGGCAAACUUAAGCUGUUCCUAGGCAAUUCCAAUCUGAGUUUCUUGUUGAAGUUGCAAGCUAAGCUGUCGGGUCAGUCAGAAAGGGGAGUUUUCCAGUAUGCUGGAGAAUAGCCAGUUCCUGUUACAGUUCGAGGUCAAGUGGAAUCAGUAGUAGUUGCCAUAGGUAUAAGAUAUCAGAGUUUAGGUAUGGGAGAGUCUCUAGUAUAACCUAUGUUUGUAGUUAAAGGGGCAGGCUGGCUUCAUUCAGUUACUAGGGUAGGCUUGUGGAAUUCUGUAUUUGUAAACUCCCUUACCUGUCAACUGGACCACUACUUUUAAGGGGCAAGAACUGGUAGAGAUAGGUUUGGUGCGAGGCAGAAGCACUAACUAAGUUUCAUUAAAAGAGCCAGAGUUCAAAGAGACAAGGUCGAGUCGAGUUUCAAGGUUCAAAGAGCCUGAGCCAGAGGUAUAGAAGAACUUGUUACUAAUGUGACUCAUUUAUUUGACUCAUUUCGGUCAUAUCGGAUGGAAGUCAACUCGUAUCUACUCUUUCUUUGGGGGCGAGGGUUGGAACUCGUAUCUACUUUAUUAUAGGAGAACAUUUAGAAGUAGUUACUGGGGCCCGGUCUUAAACUAAUACUACGGGAGUGUUCUUAUACUCUGGUAAGGGUGAGUAUACGCUUGGCACUGGAAUACCCAGUGGAAUCACUAGUUCAUGUUCUAAAGUAAGGGUUAAAGGCUGUUCUUAAAUAGAAGUAAAGUCUAGGUAGAGCUAGUUGCAUUAUUAGUCUUCUACUUACUAGUGGAAUUCUCUGUUAGUGCUGAGGAAGUCUUUAUUACUUGCCCGUAUAUUAAACUACACUUUAGCAUUCCGUACUUCCUGCUUUUUGAGUUAUGAGCAAGUCAAGCCUUUCUUCUUAGCCUCCGCCUCUGGUUCCUGCACUGAUCUGGUUGACUUACUUGGUAGGGUAGUUGACUCACUAGUUUCAUGAAGUUACUAGGCUAGGAAGCCCACCUAUUCCCCGUACUGAUUCUCUGCAUCUAGUCAAAGUUUCAUUAGAGUAAGCACACCGAUAGUAGUGGAGUGGUUCAAUCUAUGAGAGAGCUUCUUGUGUUGAUGCUGUAGUAGUUCCUUGUCGAGAGAGGUGAAGAUUGGGUUGAUACCUGUAGGAGCUCCCUUUCGUAGAGAAUGACCGACAGCUUUCCCUUACCCGAGUUGUAGUAGGCUUUCAAAGUAGUAGAAUAGUACAAGUCGUCACCGAUGUAGCUCAAAGUCGUGGCGGUGCGAGUAUGGUUUACAGGAACAGUAUGUAUAAUAAUAAGAGUCUAAAGUAAGCGGGAAAGAAAGAAGGGUCAAAAGGGAAUCAGAGAGUACUGGUCUUGUUGAAGCUAAUGCAGUCAAAGUUUCAUCGUUAAUAAGAAGAGAAUCAGCUGUAUAAAGUAGAGUUUAGGAGUGCGCUAGUUAAUAUGAGAUCCGUUUUGCAUCAGGCAUCAGUAGUAAUAAGUGAGGAAGCAAGGGAAUCAAGUAGAGCCAGAGUGAAAAGAGUAAGCCCUCAGUCUGUUACUAGGUGCUGUAGGAGUGAGCUCAAGAGGAGAAGUAAGUAAACUAGUGAAACCCUGACUUAUUAAGGCUGCUUGCCUACUUGCUAUGUGUUCGAGAGCCAAAUGCAGGUAUCAAACGUAAGAUCUCAAGUCUUGUGUAGGUGUGGGUAAGAUAGGUAGGUAGACAGGUUGGCAAGGAAUAAGAUACGAUGUAGCGCAUUCCCGGACUUACCUGUGCAAUUCUUUAGUGAAAUACCGGUCAACUCUCUUAUUAAAGGCAGUAGUGCUAGGGAAGUCAAGAAAGGGGAGUUCUUGUGCUCGUUGCUUGGCUCUUUGAUUACUUAGUUUGAUGCUCGGUCCUCGCGCUAGGGGCUGAACCACAAUUCUGGUUGCCUCCUAUCAGAUAACAUCCUUUUACUACUACUUAUUUUCAUUCCAAUGUUCCAGCGUUAGUAUGCCAAUCCUUUCUUCUAUCCCAUCUAUCUUAUGAUGAUAUCCAUUACUUCAAUGCCGAGUUUGUCUACUCAACUCCUGUCUUAGAGUCUUGCUUUCAACCCUAAGCUUCUGCCUUCAAUGCCGGAGCUCCAGAACGAAACCACUAGAUAUUAGCCUAUCGUCUUUCCCUUAUUUAUAAUUCUGACUAUCCUGUCUCUCGGUCUUACUCCAAGAUGCACCUAAUCGGAUUGUUUAUUGACAUAGUAAGUCUGGCACUCCCUUUAACUCUCUAACUGCUGGACAUAAGCCUUCCUUUUCUGCUUUUCAUUCUUAUGCUUGAGUAUAGUAUUCUUUAACUGGGGCCUACUUGCUAUCAAACUUGUCUUUCCUGCUCCACCUCACUUGCUUUCUUUAACUACUGCCUGGCAUCCUUACUAGCCAUACUUUUGACUCUUUAGCUACCGCUUUGGAGCCUUACUUGCUUCUUUCAUUCUUGGGAUUAGUCCUUUGUAUUCUGACUUGAGAGUUGUUGCCUUACUACUGAUUUCCAUUCUUCAAUUAGCUAUUCCUUAGCCGAGUUGGAUUACUUGUCUCUGUUUUCAAUCUUAUAGGUAGUAGCCGCAUUCUUUUAUUCCCAGUUCCAUUACACUGGGGAGGCCAAUAGCAUCAGUCCAAUUCUACGAAGACAUAAGCAGUAACAACUAAUACUAAACGGGAAGUAGCUAAAGUGUUUCCUUAAUUUAAUGUAAACCUCACUGACUUUAUUUAACCCCCUGACUUAAGUCUGUAUUUAAACCUGCUAUUUCACCUACUUAUAUUAGAAUUGACUAGUAGAGCGUGUGACUAGACACCGGUGUAAACAGCCCAAGUCGACUCCUUUAGCGUAACUCUUUUCCCUCCUUACUGAAAUUAUGUAUCUCUGGGGUUAGCCCUCUACUGCUUAGUUGAGUUCUUUAGCUACUGCGCUUGGAUCGGAUCUUAGUUGAAUUACUUUCCUUAUAUACUUAUUUCUUUGUGUUACUUCUACUUUUGAGUUUCAAUCCUCUACUCUACUACUAUUUACUACUAUUGAGUUCAAUUCGAUUCUCUACUCUGAUCGACCAGGUAACAACCUUUAUUGGCCUUGUACUACUGAUGGACAUUCUGGAUUUGGAUUCUUCUUUUUCUAUGGGUACUUUUCUUUCCAUUGGUUAAUGGGGUGUUUCAUUACUUAUAGCGUAGCGAUUAGUACUAAUGCAAUGCAAUUCUGCUAGUUAGUGGUAAAAACCUUACUUCUUUGUUUCAGUUUCAUACUGGGUGCUGGGCGCGCUACAUCUCUCGUAUCUAUAUCCUCACUUUUGCCCCCGGAUCCGAUACCCCUUCUUCGACUUACUCGUUUCAUCCUUUGUGUUUUUUCCUACUUUGAUUCUUCUCCCUGAUGUAAACUACUCUGUCCUAAUUGAUAUAUCAGUGAGUUGAGUUGGCAAUCCUAUACUCUAGACUCCAAUCCUGAGUUCCCUUUUGCUAUUAGUUGCAUGCCAAUCGAAUCUUUGUGCCCGGAGUUCUGGGAAAUAAAUUAGUAUUGGAUGGGCUGUAGAAAAAGAAUGAACUAAAGCGUGGGCAAGGGCCAGGCAUAAUAAUUGCUAUAUAUAAUUAAGUAAUCAAUAAGAUCGGUCUGCAAGUCAGAUAGAGUUAGUGCGGGUCGGGAGUUUCAGAAGUCAGUAAGAAUGCAUUUAUGAAUUAGUGUUCCUGCCUUAGCUGUUACUUGGUGGACUCGGAGUUAAGACCACAAGAGUUAUAUAGUAUAGUAGUUAUCAGAGAAGAAGACCGGUUAGUCUCAUAUGAAGAAUGAACCUCUUCAAAAAGAAGAGAAUAAAGUACUGGUUUUGAGGCGAGGUAGGCCAGUAGGAUCGAGUUAGUUCGGGUGAGUUUCAUUCUGAGUUGAAUCCCUAGUUGACUGUAGUACUGCUCCUGUUCUUGUUAGAGUAUAAUCUAGGUAGUAGUUGCCGGUGCUUGUUGGUGACUCUAAAUCUGUUGUUGAAGCCUAUAUACAGUAGUCGCCUGCCCCUGGUAUGGUAGUCCUGUUCUGAUUCUUGGUUAAAGUAUCAAAAGUAGUGGCUUCAUUCCUAGAGUUACUAGUGGAAAGGUGAAGUUUGGACUGGUUUCAUUCUGAGUUUAGUGUUCGGAAGAUCUUUCUUUGUCCUGUGCCCUUAAUUCAUGCUCCUCUUGCUCAUCUACCUUUUCAUAACUCUUGUUUGAUAGUAUAUGCCCUAGUUUUGGAAGAGCAGCCCUUUAGCUUACUAUGUUCCUUGGCCCCUUUCAACUCAUUUGGAAAACAAUCCAAUCAAAUAAAUGAGAAAAACGGAGUAGUUAACUUCCUACCGACCGGAAUACCUAUGGGUGUCAAUUCCAAUAAUGAAUAUAUAAGAAUAAAUAGUAUAAGGCUAUGAAGGUAGAAAAGAAAUGGAGUUAUAUGAGCCAGAGGACAGGUCGGCAAGCUAGUCCAGAGGAGCUGCUGAAUCCCUUGUUUAGUCUGAAGUUGACAAGUAUGGGUAGUAGUCCUGUUUCAUCUCAAGUAGGAGUCCUGUUCGAGUGGAAUACCGAGUCUUGUCUUCAAGUCAGGUUUCGGGUGCUAAAACAAAAGAAAGGAGGUCGGGUCAGGGUUAACACUCAUAAGGGGUCGGGUCGGAAGAAACAGACUCAAUUAGGACUCCGUCCGGGCCAAGCUUUGUAGUUAGUUGGCGCCUAGUUGCUUGGUCACUUAAGUAGUUUUAUGGGAAAUGCCCUUUGAAAUAGACUUAUCGGCUGUAGAAGUUCAUUGACGCCUAGAAUCUUGACCCUAUUGCUCCUAUAUCUCAUUGGCAGCCGUUGCUGUGGAAUGGAAUUAGUGGACUAUACUAUAUACUCUUGGGGUGCGAGUGGAGUCGUUGUAUGACUUAGAAGCUAGAGAAUGAGAAGAGUAUGAUGAGGAAGGUAUAAAACAGAGGAUAAGAACUCCGGUAGAAAGGUAGAGAAUAGAGUUGACUUUACUAGGAUAAGAAUUAAGCAAGUCAGAAUGCAACUAAGUAGUUUAAGAGUGAAACAGUGCCCCUAUAUACGUAGACUCAGAAUUGAACUAACUCCUUAUAAAGAGUGGAGCUAGUAAGGGUCUGGUCAGAAAGGGGAGCGGGAAGUUACGGCUUUGAAGUAGUUGAAAGUCGAGGUCGGGAAAUGAUUAAGUGUGGCAAAUGUAAGAAUAGAGCUCAGUAGUCAAAGAAUUCAUAUAGUAGUUGUAGUGUAGUCCCGGAGUGGAAAUAGAAAUAGAUGCAUUCUUAGUUGACUCGGCGCUCGAUAAGAAAUGGCGCUAGUAAGGGAGUAGUUGACUCUUAGCACUAGAAUCAGUGGAUGAAUUUAUGAUAGGAAUUGAUAUCUCUUUCGGUAUCGUCUAAUGGCCUUUUGAAGCGCUAAGUCCUCGCCUUCUUCAGCGUAUCAAAAGAAAGUAGUCGAUCUAGUAGCUCUGCAUCGGUGGUUCAGUCUAAAGGAAGGGCUAAGCAUAUUCCUGAAGUUUGAGGGAAGGUAAGUCAGAAGUUGCUGGUCUAUUUCCGAGGGGAAAAGGGCGGUAAGCGAAGGAAGCGGGAUCAUCAGCUGUUCGUCUCGAAGAGGUAUCCAAAGUGUCUAGUUUCCAGAUCUUCCGCGGGUAAUAUCACUUUGUUCUAUACUAUAAGGUGUAGCGGGUAAGCAAGUUUCUUUUGUAGCUCCCGAACAAUACAGGUCAAGCUAAGCUGUCAAUCCGUGUUGCGGUAAGGAAAUAAUAGGCUUGUGUUUCAGGUAAUAAAGGAGAAUGUCUUUUUUUGGUAUAGAGGUAAUUAAGGAAGCAGUAAGCAGUCAGCGAAAGAGCAGCAAAGAGUGGGAAGGAUAAGCGGGAAGCCCACGGAACUCCACUCUACAGGCGAAACCUGCAACAUCAUAAAUAGCAGCAUGUCGGUUGCUCUUUCUUCUCAUCCAAUUCCAUUGAAAAGGAAAGCCUUAGCGGCCUCGCCAGAAACAAAGGAAAGCCUGGGGCCACAGAACUCAUUAGCGGGAGCCGAGUGAAAGCCAUUCCUAAUAUGACAUUCAAUCAAAUAUGAAAAGAACUAACAUUACCAUCUUCUUCUCGUAACUGCUUCUUUAUCGUCGACUACCUCUCAAGUACUGUACUUACUUAGAUAGGAGGGCAUUCCAAGACAAAGCAAUCUGACAACUCACUUUUGAAUCUCCAAUUCCCUUAGUCGUGGCGUUACCGCUUUGCUUUGAUUUGCGAAUCCUUUGGUUUCAUCCUUCCUUUGAAGUCCAAUAAAUGAGAAAAAAGGUACCGGCGCCGUUAGUGAGUUCUUCUUCCGCUCCCUCUCAGCCCGAAGCUUUAAUGAAAAGUUCUAUGCUGCUAGCCCGACCCAGCUUUGCUCCUGAAACUACUUGCGGAAUUUCCCUCUACCUUCUGCCCGGUUGGAAAAGAAAUUGGAUGCGUAGGCGUAGAACACAUCAACAAUUCUAACCCUAGAAAAAGGGGCCUGCCUCAGUGAUAAGAAGAAAGAGCUUUGCUUUGAUAUGAGGCAACUAUGAGACUUAUUUCCUAUUAUCUUAAAGCUAACAGCAGCUUUGUUUCGCCCUCGGGUGACAUCUCCUAUGCUCUCCACUUUAUCCUAGACGAUCUCGUGUAAUAAUCGGGAUUUGAAAAGAUAAUGCUAGCUAGAGUUGAAUACUAGGCAGCAGGAAGUUAUUCAGCAGGACAUGGAUAAGAAAGGGAAGAAAAGCGAGUAGUGGGAAAGCGCUAAGGUGCUCAAGAGAAGAAAGAGAGAGGGCGCUAAUGGUAAGCUAGCGGUAUAGUUUGAGUAUAAUCAUAGAGAGUCGUCGGUGUAAGUAGAAUGGAAGAGAGCUCUUAAUACGCCAAGCCAAGAGAACCAGAACCAAAUUCGAGUUUCUCUCGCUCAAAGGUGCCUGAACUAGCAUUAUGACAAUUCCAGUUUUCGGGGGAUCAGAGGAGGCUAAAGCAUCCGCAGGAGAAGAAAAAGUAUCAGCAAAUGAAAGCAGAGUUAGCAUCAACAGAGUUAGCAUCAGCAUCAGCAGCAUCAGCUUAAAUAAGUGUUAGCGCAACCGACUUAUAGAAUGGAAAUUUGCUAUCUGAAGAAACGAGUAUUGUUCUUGUGCGAGUUAAGUCAAGGUAUCCAGCAAGCGGUUUAGCACUUUAGAGGUCAGGUGCUAAUGUUGUCGGUUCCUAAACUAUUGUUUUGGGUGCUAGCAUAAGAGAAUCGAUGUUUGCCCAUACUAGUUCUGUUGCUUGUUGGUUCGGUGCUUGUGUGAGGCUAUGAAGGAAUUGAAAGUAAGUGACUUGGCUGAUAGCAAAUAGAGAAAGUGGUCGACUUUGAUAGCAAAUAGUAGAGGCUCUUAUAGUAAGUUAGUGACUUGACUACUGGCAGUAUAAUUAAUGGAGUUGGCAUCAAAGGCUUAUUUGCUAGUUCCUUCUCCUGUUAAAGAGAGGAAGCCGGGUGCUCAAUUGUAAGAAUGAGACUAUCCACUCAGAGGCAAGCGUAUACUAGAUGCACUGAUUCCCGAAGUCUGUUACUAGGCUCCAGGAAGGAAGUUAGUAGUUAGGAAGUAAGUUACUAGUUAGGAAGUCAGGGAAAGUUAGGAUUGGAGUGGAGUGGUAAAGAAAUCCAGUUUAGUUGGAGUUCAAAGAGCAUAAGUGGAAGUUGAGGCGAGGCAGCUAGUAAAGUAAUCAAUAACUGAGGUAGUCAAGCUAGUCCUGAGUGGAGGUAGGGCGCUAAGCUAUUAAGAUUGGAUUAAGUAUCUGUUGCCAGCAGGGUUCAAUGAAUGGUUGAGGAGCAAGAGUGAAAACACUAGAUUAAUGAGUUGGCUUAGAGCGAUGUGGUUCUUCACUGAAAGGAAAGUUCGGGCGCUAACCAAGAAAAAGGAUUACUCGAGAUGAGCUGCUCACUUACUUUGUAUCCGGGCCGGGUAGUCAUCAAUAGAGAACCUCUCCGGGGGUAUGCCAUGAUAAUCAAUAAGUCAGAAAUAAGGUAGAAAGAGAGAAGGAUAAGAUACUAAGGGACCUGUCUUCAACUCACACUCGACCUGUCUCUUUGAUCUUGACCCUAAACCCUAACUCUGGCUCUUUCCUUUGAGUGGAAUUCUUUCCUUCAAUACCUGAGGCAAGUUCCAUUCUUCACUUCCAUACCUUAGCCCUUAUAGUAAGUUGCCCUUAUAGUAAUUUAGCUAUAGGAUUGAGCUCAGUUAGCAAGUUGGAAAGUCAGGUGCUUCAAGGGAGUAUAUAAGUCUCCUGUACUUGUGUAGUAGUGACUUGGCCCUAACUCAGUGACUACCGGGCGGAGAGAAAGAAACAAAUUCACCAGUAUCAAAGGGUGCUUCUGAAAGGAUAGUUCCGGGUAGUAGCUUGGCGUUAGAGGAGCAAUCCAUAGUUCUGAAUGAAGCAAGUCAGAAUGAAGUUAAUAGUAGCCAUAGGUAUAUUUGCCAGAGAAGAAUAGGGUACUUUCUUGCACAUGAAGUAAUAGAUGUUGGUUACCACAGGAAGUAAUAGAUGUUGGUUACUCACCCAGAGCUCUCUUUCUCUCAAGUAAGCAAGUCAGAAUGAAUAGAUUAGAGAGCCUCAUUCAGCAAGAAUGGAAUGGGCCAAGCAACGUAGUUAGUUGCGCGGCAGGGCUGCUCUUCCUUAUAUUAAGUCGCGAACACUAGCGUCAGGCAAGAACAAGUAUAGAGAGCUUUGGUGCAAGUGUAGUAGGUGAAGAAAGGAUAGCUUUGGUGUUGAAGAAGUCGUAUCGGAAUACAGAUGCGGAAUUCCCAGUUUGCUAAGAUCAGAGUUGGAAAAGAAUGCUACCAAUGCCCAUAGUAUAUUAAGUAGCACCCGACUCAGCUGCUGUCUCUGCUCCACCUAUUAUAAGAUGUCAUUUACAAGUUCAGAACAAAGAUGAUAAAAACAAUUGAACAACUCUUCUGUUUCUUAUCUGUCAACUGCUUAUGAUCUAGUAACUUCAUGAGGCCUAGUACAAGAGGAGCCCUAGCCUAGGGUUUGGUAGUAACUUCUUACCUAAGUAAACUAUACCUCUGUCAACUACUACUGAUUAAACAAGGGAUUCCACAAGAGCAGGGCAAAGUGAACCUUAGCAACAUUAGCAACAGUGGUAGUAUUACCUCAGCAACAUUAGCAACAUUGCUUCCAAACUACUAGUAUUGAUUCUGGGCUGUAAACGGGCUGUCAACCGGGAUGUAUCAAAGAAAGAAAGAGUGGGGAAGUUGUUUCAUUCUGUGUUUACUCGGUAUCAUGGAAGGGGAUAGUGGACAGUUCAAUUGAUCUACGCGUAAGGGGCCAAGCAACUACUAACGUUGCGCGGCAGGGCCGCUCCACUCUUUUGGAUCCAAUUCAGAACUUUAAGUAGUGGUUGGAUCGGGUGGUUUACUUACUUAGUGGUCCGGUCUAGUUUCAUCGGAGGUGUAGUGGAGUGGUCUAGUCAAGUAAUAUCUAUAUAAAGUAUAUAAGGAGAAAGCCCUGAGCUAAGGCUAAGUAGGUGGUCAAAGAAUCAAACUAAGGAGUCCAAGAUUUGAACCAGUAAUUGUAAGAAAGAAACUAGUAAGUAUAAGACUGAAACCAGUGAGUAUAAGCCUUAAGCAGUGACUCGAGGGGUCAGAAUCACACUAGUAUGUAUGAGAAUGGAGCUUGUAAGGGAAAGAGCUAGUAAGGGAAGGAGCCAGUAAGGGAAGGAGCUAGUAAGGGAAAAAGCUAGUAGGGGAAAGAGCUAGUAAGUCCAAGAAUCCAACUAAGUAGUUAAAGAAUGAAACUCAGGAGUCACAGAGUGGAACUCGGUAGUAGCAGUAUCGGCAUGUGGGAGAGGAAGUAUUUGUUGACAUCAGAGUGGGAAGAGCUCCUGCCGCUAGUGUUCCUAGGCAAUAAGUAAAGGAAUUCAACAAGUAAGUAGUUCUUGUGCCAACUAGUAGUAUUGUAGUUUCAUCCUAUAUUAGUAGUAUUGUAGUUUCAUCCUAUAUAGUAGUAGCUUGGCAGUUGCCCUUAAUUAAGUCGGUAUCGGAUAAGAGACGGAGGCUCAAUUUGAACUCGUUGCCAUAGCCCGGGUAUCCAGUAGUUUAGAGUUGAUAGUUGCAUUCUUAGUUUCAUCUGUCUUAGUUGCGAGAGGAGAGGUAGAUUAGAAAGCAGCUUGUUUCAUUCGAGUUGAAUCAGUAUUAGUUGGCAUAGGUGGAGGAGCCGAAUUGAGUUAGUAAAGAUGAAAUGGGGCAAGCAGAUAGGCCUAGCCUACUAAGGCACGUCAGGGAGUUGGGGCUAUAUACUUCGCUAACUUAGGAAUACAUCUAAGUUAUAGUAGGAAUCUCUUUGGCCGGGUAUAAUCAACAGAAGAAGGAACAGAUUCUUAAAGGGAUGGCGCCUAUAGAUAACCUGUCCGGGGUGGGCAAUAAAGUCAACUAUACUAAAUAAUGAGCAGUGCUUGUAAAGUGUGGGUAUUCUUAGAGGAUUGAAAAGAGGUAAGUAAACUAUAGUACAGGUCAGAGUGGUUAUAAAUAAGAUACCUAGUAUUGACUGACAAGAAGAGAAGAGAUGGCAAAUAGUACAAUUCCUUAGAGUUAAUAUAAGAAAGAAUUAAGAAAUAAGAAAGAUAAGGUGCUUGUGUACUAGAGCUGUCCGAGAGAGAACCAACCCUGUCCCUGUGCUCUGAACAAACCUUGUAUGUGCUUCUCUAAGAAUUGAGUUUGAUACUUCCUAGGCCUUGUUGCGAAGGUUUCUAAUGGUUACUUGCCUUACAGAGUUACCUUAUACUAACUGCCUUAUAGCUUAUAACCUUAUAGCUUAUAAGUAAUUAACUGCUUCCUCGCCUGUAGACUAAACUCACACUGUUCUUCUAAAUAAUGCAUUUAAAAGUAUAUAAAUUAAGCGAUAAGAGCUUGGAAAAGGGGAAAGUAAGUCAGCUUUCAUUCUAAGUCUUAUACUAGUUCUGUAGUUUUCUACCUGACUAAUGUGUAGCGGCAGGAGCUUAAGAAAUAUAAGAAGAGCCAGAUCUUGAAGGCAACACCGAGCCGAGCCGGGAGUUAGAGUGAAAAGCCAGUAGUUGGCGAUAGGGGGAGCACCACUUGGUUAGCAAGAAAGAAGUCAACUAGUUGGUUACUUAGAGGAGUAGCGAUAAAGUAGAUGUCUAUUAAUUCUCGGAGUAUAGGUAAAUAAGAUGUCUAAAUUAUGAAGUUAAUGAGCUAGGUCUUAUAGAUUUAGUAAUAGAAGAAAAGAAGGAACUAACCCUGUGCCCUUAAUUAAUGCCCUAAAGAUAUAGGCUUCAAAUGAAUUUCUUGCACGGGUAAGAUCAGAUGAUAGGUAAUUUCCCAUAAAACUAAAGAAGAGCUGUUAUAGUGAAUUUAUUCCUAUAAGAUUGACCCUAUUGCUCAGUUACUCCGGUAGUAUGGCUCCUGUUCUUGUUGAAUGAAUCCAAAUAAUGCCAUUGAAAGCAGGUUUCGUCUUCAAGGAUGGUUCGAGUUUGCAGAGUUAGAGCCCUUAUUGUAAGUUUCAGCUGGAAGUGGUUAUGAACUUAGAGUAGAGUUUGGGGUUGGGGUCUAGUAUACGCUUGUCUCGGUUGCCUUUGUAGUCGUGUCUUGGCGGGUAGGUUGACUUACUUAGUUUACAGAGCUCGGGUCUAUUGGAGGUCGGGUCGGGUAUUGGAUUACUGACUUAGUUGACAGAGGAGUAGUGAGUUUACAGAGGAGUGGGGAGUAGACUUAACACUGUCAGAAUAGCUAAAUAAAGAAGAAAAGUCGUUGCAUUUCUCAUAUACUCACUAAGUAUACACUCAGUAGCAAAAAAGCACUAUCCAAAAUCUGUUAUUAUUAAGGAUAAUAGCGUUGAGAAAGAUCUUCUUAGUAAAGAGAGAAAGUGGAAGCGUACGAGGUUGAUAACGACGAGUCCAGUCCUUUGGUUGUUGCUGCCGCUACACAUUAGUAAUAGCUUGGCUCUGAGACUAAUGAGUGGAAUUCUUGAAAGUAAUAAAUAGAGGUCGUGGUCCGGUUUCAUAAGAGGUUGCAUAGCAGUUACCAGAGUGAAGAAGUAGCUUAUCGGCUUGGCUCAUAUGUUUAAUGAUAUUCCAAGGCUCGGGUAGGCUUGCUGGGUGUUAGAUUAGAGAUGCGCCGCUUCUGAUCUUGGGCGUUGUUAGAGAUGAUAAAGUCAGUUUCCCCACUAUUCCAAAGCAAAGUCAGUAAAGUAGAUUUAUGUUCUUGUGUCGGGUAGGGGAAGGGUAGUUUACUCACUUGUGGAAUGAAGUUACUAGGCAAGGGAAGUCGGAAGAGACCAACUCAUGGUGUCGAAUUACAGAAUCAAACCAUGAAGUGGAAGCCUUAAACCAGGAAAGUGAGAAUCAAACAAGUACUACAUCAGAGUUUACCUCCAUAGUUAAAGAAUAGAAGCUAGUAGCAGCAGCCUUGUUUUCAGUUGACUCAGAAUGUGCACCUCAGUAGUUCAAGAAUAAACCUCGGUUGAGCUAGCCCUUAUUAGUAAUUUGGGCCAAGCUACGACUAGACAAGACUGCAAGCAGGGGGAGCUAGUUCUGAUAUAGCUACUUCAGACUUCAACCAAUACCAACAAGAAUGCAAAUGGUAAGUAGAAGCCUUAAAGCAGUGCCAACAGGAAUCAAAGCAGUAACAACAGGAAUGCAACCACUGAUACUAAGACUGAAGCUGCUAAGGGAGAGAAUGAGACAAGUGAGUGACAGAAUCGAGCUAAGGAGUCACAGAAUCAAACUAAUGAACCGAAGCCUUAAGCCAGUGCUGGGCAGACCUCAACCACUAGCAAGCAAGCCGGAUAUCAGUGCCACUAAGACUUCAACCACUGCCAGCAAGACUCAAAUCACUGCCGCUCAGGCUUAAAUCAGUGCUAACAGGGAUGAGACAGCUGCCAGCAAGCCUUCACCGAGGGAGUGAUAGACUCAACCAAGUACCACUCAGCCUGAAACAGUGCCCCCACUAGCCUGAUCUGCCAACCACAUGGCUCAGAAUGAAGCUAAGUAGUUAGAGAAUAGAGCUAGGGAAUGAUAGACUCAAACAAGGGAGUGACAGCCUGAAAGCAAGGGGAGCUAGCUCCGACUGAAGCGGUGUCUAACAAGCCUGCUACUGGUGCUUCCAAGCCUGCAGCUAUAUAGCUAAGGUCUAAAACCACUGUUGCUAAGCCUGUUGGUAGGUAUGCUCGGAAUGUAACUAAGGAGUUAAAGAACCAAACCAGUGAAUCAAAGAAUGAGACCGGGUAUGACCAGAAAGCCGAUUGAUAGACUACUUCUUCCCUAUGACCAGAAACCCUCAUCUAGAGAUAAGAAUUGGAGCAUGACCAGAAGUCCUAUAAAUCCUAUUUCUUACCUAUGACCAUAAAGCCGCAUCUAGUAGUGAAGUCAAGAAUUGCACUCAGAUGACAGAGAAUCAACCACUGCAUCCAAGGCUUCAACUCGAUCCAAUCAGACUGAAUCCAGGGAGUCUGAAGUUAGAAUCAAACCACAGCCAACCAGUCUUCACAUGCAACUAAUAGGUGAGCUAGUGGGAAAUCCAGAGGAGUGAAUGACUCGGUUAGGUGGGAAAGAAAGUAGAGAUGCAGAGAAUUGGUAAUAAGGGAUAGGUUUGGUAAUUGAUGACUCCUCUACUAUUUGCUAUCCGGCAAGUAACUACUAAUGUUACGCGCCAGCGCUGUUUCCCGGGAAAACGCAAAAAUAGAAUUCCCAAUAGGUGCUCCAGGAAGGAAAAGAUCUUUGCUAUGAAAAAACACGGGGUUUCUUCCACUUUUCAUGAAAUUGGGGAGCUCUAGGAGGGAAAAGAAGGUUGUAACGAAAAAACACGGGAAAACGGAAAAGUAGAAUGAAAAUAAGGUUCUCUAUUAGCCAAAUUGUCUUCACUGCCAACAGCUCCUGCCGCUACACUGACGUAGUUACUUGUCCCAUAGAAAUUCAUUCUAUCUUUCUAAUAGAAUUCCAGUGGUUCUUUUCCUGUUCAUAAGUUUGGAAAGGAAGUUGCUAGGGUUAGCUCGGUUGCUCCUUCCUUCCUUUAAGAACGGAGUUUGAUACAAUCAUAUAAGCAAAAUAAAGGACAUAGGCAGAGGAGAGGCUCACACUCGACCGACACUCUGAACUUCCCGCGCGCAACUCAUAACACAUGCUGCCGCUACACACGAACAAAGGACUUGGCGGUCUUCCACUCUUAUCUACAAGGGUAAGGUCUUCAACUCUUCCUUGAACUGGAACUGGCCUAUCACUUACUGCCCGGUCCCACUCUAUCAUUUAUAGCCCGGUCAACUCUCAACUCCAGGAGACUGGUUCACUCGGAGACAGGUGAACUCUUUACUCAAAGACCAGAGGAUAGGCCCUUAUAGUCAGUUACCCCUUGUUUCAUCAGUUAUCCUUUUAUAGGAGAAUAUAUCAUUAAUAGGAGAAUAUAUCAUUUAGUAAGGUUCAACUUGAAGAACUCCCAUACUGAGGCGCCAGUUGAUCUGAUUUAUGACUUGUCUUAACUUUCGUUGCUUUUGUGUGCCGUGCGCGAACUCCCGUAAGCUUAAGAUGCUAGUCAUGAAGAUUGCCCCAACUCACUACUGCCGUUACUAAUACUAGUUUCACUCUUUUUCUACUAAUACACUAACUACUCUCUUAUCUCUUUAACUCCCCAGCUCUUUCCUCUUUACUGAAGGCUCCUCUACCUUUUACUCACUAUUGAUAGCCUUACUCACUAUUGAUGGAACUCUUGCCAAGAUACCUUUAAGCCUCUGAACCACUACACUUACCAGAGUUGACUAUUUCAAUCGGCUUCAGUAACCCUAUAAAUUCUCUAUUCUAUAAUUCUCUAUUCUAUCUUACUAUUACUAUUAAUAGUCAAAAGAAUCAGAUGGAGCGGAGCUGGUGAGGAAGCCAAGCCGGGGUAGAGACAGACUGCCCUUUACUAUUUAUGGCAGCAGUUUCAAGAUCAUCUGCAGUGGGGUAUUUCGGAAACUACUCUCAAUCAGGUAUUCGAAUUAGAUACAAGGUACAGGUCUGGUCCUAUUGCAUCAGUGUUUUUGCCUGUUAGUUUCCAGAGGAAAGGAAUCCAAUCAAUACUUGUUGCGGCGGUAGCUAAGUCUAUACUGAGUUGCCUUAUUGGAAGCAAUGUAGCUAAGGUUAUCCCCCUUAUUGGAAGCUUCGUUCUAAGGUUUCUAAUUAUGAUUCACCAAUCUGCCGCAAUCAGUAGUAAUAGAAAUAGGCCCAUAAGUUCAAGUCAGAAUGCAGUUUUAGUUGACAGAGCCUGGUUGCCAUAGUUCGGGAAGUAGUUCAUUGUUGCCAGAUAGGAGCCUUAGAGAAGAAUAGCCUGCUCGAGGAAAGGAAACUCUAGAAGCAGUUGUGAAUGAGUCCGGUCGUUUAAGGCAUGGUCAACUCUUCUUAUAGCUCAUCCAUUAUUGAACCUCGUAACCAUUCCCAAAAUGCAUUUGUAUUGCUUGUUUCUUCCUUGUUCCCUUCUCCUUCCAGAGCUUAUGUUCCCCCAAACCAGGACCAUGUGCAAUAAAAUCCAGUAUUGACUCGGCACUCUCAUCUCAAUUAGUUGAUUCGGAACAAUAAACAAGUGCAGUUGCUUGUUGAAUGCACAACUUCUGUAAUAGAGUAACAACAACACUAGCAAACCUCCACUUGCUAAUGCACCCGCUCCAGAAUGAAAGUCAGCUUAAAGCAUACAGUAUAGUAUGAUUGACUCUUACUCUGGUUGGCUUCUGGAACUCUACCACUUAUUUCCCGGCGCACGAGGGCUUUCGAUCUAUACCCUAAACUUGCUCUGCUGACUCACAAAACUCUAACACUGUGAAACUCCUAAGGCACAACGAUGAACUCAAAGAAUCUAUCGUUAAGAAUCCAUCUCUAAUUACCCGCGAAAAUCUAUUUCUAAUUGUGGGGCCCGCUUCAAUCUCUCUUUUGAAUCUGACUGGCUUCAAUCUAUCUUCUCUUUUGAAUCUUAUAAAUCAAUAGCUAUAAUCUUCUCUAAAUGAGUAAUAAAAGACCAGUUCAUAGUAGUUCUUUCUUUUCUCUUUCUCUAUUCUUUUCUGGAUUCUCUAAUUGAGUAAUAAAAGACCAGUUCAUAGUAGUUCUUUCUUUUCUCUUUCUCUAUUCUUUUCUUUAAGAUUAGCGCAUAUAAGUCCAAUCAAAUAAUCUAUAAUAUAGACCUCCUCAUAGUUCUAUAAUAUAGACCUCCUCAUAGUUAACAAAACAUCUGACUUUUCUUUUCUCAUAUUAGGCGCUACUUCUUUUCUUUUCUCAUAUUAGGCGCUACUUCUUUUCUUUUCUCAUAUUAGGCGCUACUUCUUUCUUUUCUAAACGGAAGUUCCAGUUGAGUAGCAGGACCGGAAGCAGCCCGCCCGGAUUACAAGAUAAGAUUUCGGGGGGCCCCGCAGUUCUCAACUCAACCAUUACCCAAGAAAGAGAUGAUAAAGGACCAACGACGAUCUAUGAGGAUAAGGAGUAGGAGUAGUAGGAGCUUUCAUGACAGUAUAGGCAGCAUAAUAUCAAGAUGACGAGAGAGAGAAUGAGACAAAGCCUCAAAGGUGGAGCACUUAGACAUUUCACUUUGAGUCUGCGUAAGUCUGCAGGUAGGAAUUCUUCCGGUCGUAUUACUUCUUUUCACCGAGGGGGUGGCUCAAAGCGAUUGCAGCGAAAAAUCGACCUGAAACGCAGCACUGAGUCUAUUGGCAUUGUUGAAAGGAUCGAAUAUGACCCUAAUCGUUCUUCUCGGAUCGCUCUAGUACGAUGGGGGGUUAAGCUACGCCGCCAGAGGAAAUGCAACACGAUAGAAGAGUUCGCUCCGCCGCGUAAGAUCCUAGAAUCCACCAUUGCCACUAUCUUUUGCCUUUAUUCGUUCUCUUCCCUGCCCGGUCAAGUUUCUCAAAGAAGGGGCUCCCAAGCCAAGUGCUUGCUUACGCUUAAUGUAGUGGUCGGCCUUCCAACCUUCAUGCCUCCUUGGUCGAAGAGCCAAGCCAGCGCAGGAAGCAAACAAACUAGCGCGAAGGACGUUUUCUUCUCUUCCCUGUCCUCCCCCUUUGCCAAGGGAGAUACUACAUCCCUUUGCUUCGAUAGCUCUUUAAGUAUCCCAAGGAUAGCAGUAGCUGGGGCAAAGCGCACUUUCUUUGCUCCGCGAAUGAGAGAUCAAGUUCUUGGAAUCAAUCCGUUUUCUCUUUGCGAGAUCCGAAAGUGGAGAACGGAUUGCGUUAUCUGGGCACAUAGGAUCAAACGUAAAGGAGCGCUUUCUUGGCAGAGUUUGAGGCAGCAAGAAAGAUUAGGGCUUGUUGAAGCAGCUGAGCAUAAUGAAUCGAAGCCGAAGACGGAUCAAGGUAGCUUGCAAGCCAAGCCUAUAGGCGAAGGUAUGAAGGAUAGAGCGUGCAAAGUCGAUCGUGCACCUGUCGUGUGACCCGUUGGUCCUAAGCAAUGUCUUUUGCGAAGCGACCCACCUAGAAAUCUCUCUCCUUUUAGAGAGUAACUACAAUUGAACUUCAAUCAGAUGCGGGUAUCCAAUCCCGCCGCUGAGAUGUCCAGCGGAUUCCAUGGCCUUGACGAAUGGCCGGACACCAUUGUUGUUAGAAGAGCAAAAGGCCUGGGGCAUAGCAGGAUGAACCAAUGUGAAUGAGUGUUAAGCUUCGUAGUCCGAACACGAUUGGUGCUGACCACACUAGGAGCUACCGUGGUAGCAAGAGAGGCCAGGCGGUUACAAUUGAUAGGUUGUCACUGAGCAUUCCGUCUCACACGGGAAGAGAGGUUUCAUUGCAAGGCUCAAAGGCAAUAAGCCCGUGUGGAUCCUCGCGGAGUAUAGCUCACAUCCAAACAUCUGAUUGGGGAACGGGGCAACGCCCAUGAAGCUCCGGCAGAAAGGGAAGGUCUGCCAGGCCGUAUGCGCAUGGGUGCAGGAUUCUUCGAAAAAGCAAGGGCUGACUCGGAGACCUGAGACCUUGGCUUAGCAACGAAUGAUGGGAAGCUAUAAGAGCUUUCUCUGCCAGCGGCUUAUGUAGUGGUCGGCUCGCUCCACUUUGCUUCUCCCCUUAUUCCACUUCAUGAAAUUCAGUAGUAUCAAUAAGCUACUUGUCGAGUUUACAAAGCUUUGUUUCUUGUAGUAUACCCGCCUACCUUCAUUUGCUUGGCGGGCUUCUUAUAAAAGUCAGGAAGGAAGCAUUGAGGUGGUCGACCACUACUAAUAUUUCUUUCUAUACCAAGUAAUGAGCGAUAGCGAAGCCAAGCCUCUUUUUUAAGGCGGGUUAGACCUGAUGGCAAAAAGAUAGAAGUGACUUUGCCGAGCCGAGGCUAAGGUUAUGGAAUUACAGAGUGAGUUUUAGGUAGUCAAACAAAAUAACUGGCUUAGCUGUUCUGUUCUACAAAGGAUCAAAGCUUUUGUGAAAAAGUCACUUAUCAGUCUACAAAGAAAGGGAGGAGUAACGCUGUGGAUAUAGACUAGGCGUCGUAACAGAGUCUUGUCAGUAUGAACCUUAAGGGAAUAAGUCCGCCUUGUCAGUAUGAACCUUAAGGAAGAAGUAAGCGAAAGUGAGCUCGUAACUAAUAAAGCUGGUAUAAGAAACAAAACCCUAACAAAUGGAAUCUAUAAAUUUCAAGCUAAGAAGUCAAGGAAGGAAGCAGCUUCUCUAAUAACCGAGCUUUGGCUUGAUUUUCAAAGGAGAGAGAGAGGGGCUUUCUAGGAAGAGCCGUACGAGGCAGCUCACAUACGGUUCGGUAGCCGAGCCACAGGACACAGGGGCUUAGGUCAACACUUAUAUAUUAGCAAGUCAUCAAUUGGAAGCGGGUAAAACGGUGAUGAAUUGCGAUUGGUCCAAACCUUCUAAAAGCUUCUUGCGACCUGCCCAGAAUGUCCAUACAUACCUUCGUCGGUUCCAAGACCUUGUUCCCACUGCGAAUUCAGAUCGGGUUGAAGGGAGCAAUGAGCUGGCUGCUUCUUUGCCACGCCCCCCAGUUUCUAGAUACAGGAAAGGAGAUCUCAAUUCUCAAGUAGGAAAUUGCAUACCAUUAGCAAAUCUACGUAUGGGAACAUGGGUACAUGAUAUUGAAUGUAAUCCAGGUCAAGGCGCAAAGCUAGUUCGAGCCGCAGGAACAUAUGCGAAAAUAAUCAAGGAGCCUGCCUCACUCUGUCUUGUGCAGCUACCUUCGGGUGUUUCCAAACAAAUAGAUUCCCGAUGCCGAGCUACAAUUGGUAUAGUUUCUAAUCCCAACCAUGGUGCACGUAAGCUUCGAAAAGCUGGACAAAGCCGGUGGUUAGGCAGACGCCCCAUUGUUCGUGGUGUUGCAAUGAAUCCAGUGGAUCAUCCUCAUGGAGGAGGUGAGGGGCGCACGAAAGGAGGUAGACCUUCGGUGUCACCUUGGGGGAAGCCAACCAAAGCAGGAUUUCGGGCAGUAUUGGGGGUUGGUCAAGUCAGAAUGUAGUUAAUCAUGCCACGACGAUCUCUAUGGAAGGGGAGUUUUCUUGAUGCUUUCCUGUUUAGAAUGAAGAAGAACAGAGAACAGAUUGAUAGCAGGAAAAUUUGGUCACGUAGAUCUUCUAUUUCGCCAGAAUUCGUUGAUUGCUCCGUACUCAUUUACAAUGGAAAAACUCCUGUUCGUUGUAAGAUCACUGAUGGAAAGGUUGGGCAUAAAUUUGGAGAGUUUGCUUUUACACGGUCCUCGAAAACAAAUAGAGUAAAGGGAAGAAAGGGGAUAAAUCCAGUCUAAGCGCCAUAUGGCACGAAAAGGAAAUCCGAUUUCGGUAAGACUUGAUCUGAAUCGUAGUUCAGAUCCAAGUCGGUUCAGUGAGGGCGACCGCGAAAGUAACCGAAUGGGUCCGGUCCGUCUUUUCCUGAUCUUUCUCCCAUAGAACAGAAAUGAAAGGCAUGGAAGGACGUAGCAGAUGUCCGGGACGGACACGACUUCUUCUACCGCUAGAAGACCACAGGAAGAAAUCAACCCUGGACUAUAGCAUGUCGUGAAAGAGGCACCCCAUACUAUGAAAAGCGGGCGUGUUUCCACCGUGUCUCCGGAGCACAGUUGAAUGUAGAUAUUAUGAACGCGAGGUGAAGGAUACCAGGCCGAUAAACCAAAGCAAGCAAGCACUCCCUAAUGUGCUGAUCCCUAGCGCAUCCAGGGCCCCGGCACCCAGCUCGCUUAACUGGAGAGUCCGUAACAGAUCUUAGAAGUUCUCGAGUCGUAUAUCAGCCCUGUCCUAGGAAUAAAUCACCCCAAAUAGUUCACUCAGUUUCAUUUCUUAGCAGCAGUGAAUAAACCGAAAGAGGAGAUCGCCAAGCAGGCAAGUAACUACGCUCGGCUUAGCACUAUGCUCCGCUUCAACAAAUGAUAGUUUUCGGUAGAACCGGUGAACCACGCGAGCAGGUUAGAUGCGUGGGACAGAGGGCUCAUAGUACCAUAUUUCGCAGCUAUGCAGUGGAUGAGAAGGAGCCUAAAUAAACCAACCACUCCCAUUCUUUUUUAUUCAAAGACAGACACAAAAGCACUGUUCUCAGAGAUUGGACUCUCGGAUUAGACUAAGCAGCUACCGUUCCGACGCGCCCCUAGUGGACUUGGCGGUGCUCUUUCUUUUCUCAAACCAUAACAACUCUUAACUUUAGGGAAGAUAAGGGAAGACCACCUGAGCGAAUCGACCGAAGGCACUUUACUUAUCCCAACCGAACGUUAGCGGCUUCUAUCACGAGCAGCGUCACAGCAGCGGGGAGGAUUCUCUCCAAGUAUGGGGCAAAGGAUCAAUCGCUUUCACAUUGUCCCCCGGGAUCCACUACAGGUUUGGUUUUCGAGCCGUGUGAUGGGUAACUAUCCAGCACGGUUCAGAGAGCAAUUUUCUUUAGUCUGCGCUGGUGAAUAGAAGCCCCUAGGUCUAAUAAGCAGGAUUUCUUUCUCUUCCCACGGCUCCGUCACUAUUGACUCUAUUUAUUAUUAUGGUAAAUCAGUCUAUCAAGAUGUCAAUCUUAGAUCUUAUUUCGGUUCGAUACGUCCACCUACAAUAUUUACCUUUGGCUUUCGUCUUGGUAGGUGUAUUAUUCUACAUUUUCCAAAAAGGACAUUUAUGAAUUUCUUUCUUCCCCGUCGACCACUACGACUGAAACAACCCGACAAAUCAAGACCCGGAAAGGCUUUGGGCCGGUGGUGGGCAUUUGAGAAAGUCGGGCCGAUCAGGUGUCUUUAUUCAAGCGAGGGUAAAGAGGAACAACGAAACGAAGUCAGAGGCCAGGGGGCAAGGAAAAGAGUGGAGUUGAUAAGGCUCUUAGACCGGGAUAAGCAAAACUCAAUCCUUAUUUGGCCGAAAAAGAAGCUAAGCUAUGGAUACCAUGACCGAUCACCAUCGAUAAAUACUCCUAUUUCUAAAUUACUUCGGGUCAGCGGGGCGCAUCCUAAAUACUUAGGGGUUGUAAAUAACAUAGCCUUGAAGAUGGAGAAUGACCACUCCUCCAGAAGAACUCCGUUAUUAAAGUUCUUUUUACCAAAGAAGUACCGCGGCCCGACGCGGACCCUCCCAGCAGCAGCAGUGCGUCCAUCCUUUCAUUAUUUGGUUAUGCAAUACUUAUUGAAUACAAAGAACAAAAUGCAUUUCGACCCCGUCUCCGUUCUCAAUCAUUUCGUGGCACCGGGUUUGGCUGAACCAUCUACUUUGAGGGGAAGUCAGGCAGGAAGCCACUUCGAAAGGAGAAUACGCUCUCGCAUCGCUUUUUUAGUAUCAAGCUUUACCAGCGAUAGAAAGUGUCUUGGCCAAGUCAAAAGGAGGUUUCUCCACUUAAUUAGCUUGGCGAAUGAUCUUCGCUUCGCGGGAACAACAAAAACAACCAUAUCACUCUUUCCUUUCUUCGGUGCUACCUUUUUCUUUCCAAGGGAUGGAGUCGGGGUGUAUAAGAACCUCUUUUUGGACAAUGCCCGGGAACAACUCCUAGGUCAAUUAAGGAUCAAAUGUUGGAACCUCAUGGGUAAGGCUCCCAAUGCUAUAAUUUCAUUAAUGGAUAAAUUAAUGGACCUCGGUGAUAUUAGAGAAUUAAUAAAAGGAAUAGAUAUUCUGAUAGAGAUCAUACUGAGAAAGAGGAGAAUUCCUUACGGGUACAACUCUUAUUUGAACGAAGUGCACAAAAUGCGAUAUAAUCUGUUUCAGAGAACUCAGACUAAUACCUUAAUUGAGUCGGUCAAGAUCAAAUCCGUUUGUCAAAGUGCUUCUCUGAUUGCUCAAGACAUCUCUUUUCAACCGAGGAACAAUCCAAUCUCAUUUCGUUCCAUUUUUAGUAAUAUAGUCAAGGAGAUUCCCUUAAUAAUGCCUAAAGGGGUGGAGGGGAUACGUAUUAGUUGUUCAGGUCGAUUAGGAGGUGCGGAAAUAGCUAGAACUGAAUGCGGAAAGUUUGGAAAAACAUCUCCUAAUGUAUUUAACCAGAAAAUCGAUUAUGCUCCCGCUGAAGUCUCUACUCGUUACGGAAUUUCAGGUGUCAAAGUGCGGAUCUCAUAUAGUAUGAAAAAGAAGGGACGUGCUACAUCCGAAACGUACAAAAUAUAAUAAAUCUAGUAAAAGCAGAUGUAGUAGGGGUUGCGAACCAGACGGUACACAACUUCGUUUUGGAAGAUAUGGCACCAAAAGUCGUGAAGCAGGUCGUCUUUCAUAUCGAGCCAUUGAAGCAGCGCGUCGGGCUACAAUCGGACAAUUCCAUCGUGCUAUGAGCGGACAAUUCCGAAGAAAUGCUAAGAUAUGGGUCAGAGUUCUCGCAGAUCUUCCUAUUACGGGGAAACCUAUAGAAGUUCGAAUGGGAAGAGGAAAAGGUAAUCCUACGGGUUGGAUUGCUCGUGUGUCUACGGGACAAAUCCCAUUUGAAAUGGAUGGUGUGAGUUUGUCAAAUGCUCGACAAGCCGCUACAUUAGCAGCGCAUAAACCAUGUUCGUCAACCAAGUUAGUUAUGUGGUCGUAACGUAAUUGGUUAGUGGAGGGCGUCGUUGCUUGGCUCUUUUUCAUCGCCGAAAUUCGUAGACGAACCCUCUUUUGUUCCAGGCGUACGACCCUGAGACGAGACGAGACGUAACCGAUGUCACUUUUACGGCCCUCCAGACAGUUACUCAAGUAAGAAUAAGAAAGAGAAGGAAGAGCUCCAAUUCAAAGAAAGACUCCGUUUUCUUUUUCACCGAGCCACAUCUGGUGAGUAUGUGUUUUAGAAGGACUCAGGCAAAAGCAUGCAUGGGCGUAGCGCUUGAGCUUAGGUAGGAUUUCAGAAGCUCUAUCUGUAUAGUAAGGCUUGUCUCUGUUGGCAACCAAUCAGACUCAAACAAUAGCAUAGGAAACAAGAGCGUAGGAGUGAGAGGCAGGAUAAGGAGAAUAAAAGACAGAAAAGUCAGAUCUAGGUGUCGUAGUUGAAGAGCAAAAGGCAGCUUUUAGUUUAGUGGUUGAAGAGCGGCCGGGGCAAGUAAGGAAGAGUAGGCUAAUAGGCUAGAGUUUCAUUCCCAUUUCGUGGUGGGGGGGGUCUCAUUCUGAGUCAUUCUGUAACUAUUUCAUUCUCACUUUAACCAGUUUCUUUCUUGGACUUAGCAGUUCCAUUCUUCAAUUCAGUAUUCCUAGGCUUAGUUCCACUAGUAGGCUUAGUUCCACUAGGGCAUCAGGCAACUGACUUAAGGCUUAUACUCGCUAGUGGAAUUCUGUAAACUCCCAAGCGUAUACUCGGUGCUUUGCUUUAAGGCUUCUAUUUACGAGUGGAAUUCUGAUAUUAGUACUAGGGCAUCACUUAUCUUAGUACUAGGGCAUCAGUGGUUGAAUUCCGAUACUGCUUAGGUGCAUUCUGAUCUACUACCCUCCCAAGUGUUGAAUUCUGAUCUUAGUAGUAAAUGUAGUGACUUGGCCAGCUAUUUACUUAUAACUAACUACUCUAAGAACAAGAACAGACUAUCAUCUAUAAUACCAGGCACUCGAGCUCUACAUUCCUUGGUGAAAGAUUCUACCUUGCCUAUCUCUACUUUGGCUACUGAGUUUGGCUACGCCGUUCCAUCAAAACAGAAUCCAAGUUUCAAUAAGAGAAUCGAACUAAGUAGUACAAACCAGCAAGCAAGGACCCGGAUCGGUAUUUCCAGAGUUUCGCUGAGGAGCGGAAGAGCAACAUGAGCACAUAAGAAUGAGAGGAACAAAUGCAGGACAGCAAAUACGGGACAACAAAUAAAGGACGGAGAGACAGGAUCGGGUCACUCGAUACUAGCUAUGAGUAGCAGCCUCAUUUGUAUAGUAGUAGGAUUAUGAUAGCAAUAGUGAAAGCCUCGGUAUCAGUGGUCCGAGCCCUGUUGUUAGUUGUCAUUCCCUGGUUAAUAGUUUGAUUCCUAUGGUAAGGCGUUUAGUUUGUAUCCGUUACUUGGUGACUUAUCGACAGGUUAUUUAGAAUAGGAGUUAGGGAAGGCAUACUUCAAACAAGUAGAGUUAGACUCAAGGGUUGGGGUAAUAAGCUCGGAUUAUAUUAAGUAGUCGUAUAGCCUUAAAGGGAGUAGUUUCAAACCUUAGGAGCAGUAGGCUUUCAGCACCUUCUUUUUCUUAUUCUAGUAGUGAGGGGUGCCUAUUCAGUAAGUCUGGUUUCAGCUAGAGCGGAGUCGUAGUUCAUUUUCGUUAUCCAUAAAUGAAGUCAGUAUUAGAAGUCAGAGUCUUGUUAGGCGCCUAGGGCAUCUAAGCUUCCGAAUUGAGUUCGUUAGUGGUAUGUUUGAUUCUAAGUUCCCAGUCCUCCUCUCUUAUUAAUUGAAUUCCCUAUGCCCUGUGUCAUUCUUACAAGUAUAUGGGUUUGAUUCCGAUUAUUGCUAGUCAACAUUCUUUUUAUUAUGAUUCCAUUAUUAUGGGUGUUGGUCCCAUCCCUAUAGUCAGAGUUUUUGUCUUAGGAAGUACUCGGGGAAUUCUGACUUGGAGUUUAAGCCCUUGUAGCCGAACGUUCAGUUAAGUAUUUCAUAGUCUUAUAAGCACUAGUGAAUUUCUGUCCUUGUUCGCCUAGUAGUCUGCUCUUAUGUUUUCAACUCUGAGUCUAUUACUAGAUGCGCUAUCCUCUUACUAUUAACUACUAAAUUGAGUCUUCUACUGACCUAGAUCAGACUCCCAGUCCGGGUGCCAAGGAACAAAUACCAAAGGAGGAAAUAGGUAUUAAGGCUAUCUGAAAGGAAAGUAAUACUUAAGGCAAGGAGAGGCGGGCCUAGGUUUGUUCCCCAGGGAAUGCAAGGGGCCAUUAGAAGACUUACGCUCAAACAUAAGAUCCAUACAUCGACGUUUGAUUGUGUCCUAUAGUCCCAGCAAAGGUCCAGCACAAGAUUCCGGCUUUCCAUUAGUACGCUCACACGACCUCAGUAGUUCAAUUCAUAGUUAUGCGUUUGAGUACUCUUUCUCUCUUGUAAGAAUUGAUUAAUGGAAUUGGAAGGUGAGAAACAGAAUCCGCAGGAGCUAGAUCAGGUACAGGUGCAGUUCCAGGCCCAACAACAAGACUAAGUAGAGAGAAUAGAAGAAAGCACCAGGAUAGAUAGCCGGUAUUGCACUAAAGAAUGGUGUUUACUUAUAGGCUAGGGACCCAACCCAUACAUAAAAGACAAAGAGAGGCCAAGUCGAGUAGUAGAGUUAGGGGAAGAAUAUAGUCACGAGAGAAUGAAUCAGCGGGAUAUUCGGCAGGAAGUCAAGUUUAGUGCUAUCGGUCAGGGUCAAUUGUUUUCUCCUAUAUAGUAUAGUUUCAUCCUUAUUUGUUGGCUUGAAGACCCGGUAGUUGCAGAGUUGAAGACCGGGUUAGUUGGAUAACCUCUGUGCUUAGGGCGUAGGAGAACCCGGCAAGUCACUUCUAAUGUGUAGCUUAUGGGAGUUCUUUGCUCUCUUAGUCAAUACGCCGUUCCAUUCUUUAAUUCAAUCAAGUAGUAGUCUAGGUAAAGUUACAGUGAUAAAGAAAGACAGAAAUCAAGCUUUACCUUUUACAUCCCCGGAUGGCUAAGUAAACUAAUUCAGAUUUAUUACUACCCCAGACACUUGCUGCUGGCUCUGCUCUCGCUCUCCCUCCUUUCUCAUUAGAACUACCCUUUAGCCUUGAUUCUUACAUCCCAGCUUCAUUCUUGUUAUAGGCAGUAGUUCGUUCUGUGACUCCUAGCUUUAGGUCUUACUCUAUGAUUCCUAUGUGUAGGGUUCGACCUGCCACUCUUCACUCUCAAUCUUGUUGUUGGUUUGAGCCUGACACUGUUUAUAGGCUUGGCCCGUUGCUUGGAGUCUAUUACGUUGUUUGUCUAGUUGAAAUGAUUCCAAAAAGGGUUUGACGGCCUUCUUGAACUGAACCUUGUAGUGGUGGACCUCCUCUCUUGUUGGUAACGUCACUGAUUGUCCUUCAGUGCGAGUUUCGUCUUCAAGAUCAAGAUUAGUAUCUUCAGACUUAGAUGUGGGGAGCAGUGCCGAGAAUAAGCCUAGAGUCUUGUGCGCGCUAAAGUCAGUAGUAAGUUCAAGUGAUGAUCCAGUGUAUCCAAAUAUAUGGAAAGCAUAAGAGUGUUGUGAAAGAAGCAGAAGAUGGAGCUAUAUCAGAAGAAAGAAAGUAAACAUCAACGAGAUCAAAAGCGGGAUCAGGUGAUUUGUUCCAGAUUAAAGUAGAGUUUCCGUUAAAGCAGUAGAAUCGCGACCAGACCAUAAAGGGUACGUUCGGAUGGAAUCUUAGAGAUCAGAGUUCUUGGCUAGAAGUCUGUAGAGACAGGUUAUUGUGUUGAAGCAAAAGAGAAAGAGUGAGAUUAGCCUCAUUCAGUUAGCAGAGAUGAACUAGAAGUAUAGUAGCCAUAGGAGAGGAAGUAUUUGUUUACAGAGGACUGGUCUAGUAGCCGAGGUGAACUCAUCGGUAAGAGCCUCUACUAUUUGCUAUGAAAAAUCCCGGGAAAACGCACAAAUCGAAUUCCCAAUAGGUGCUCCAGGAAGGAAAAGAUCUUUGCUAUCAAAAAUCCNNNNNNNNNNNNNNNNNNNNNNNNNNNNNNNNNNNNNNNNNNNNNNNNNNNNNNNNNNNNNNNNNNNNNNNNNNNNNNNNNNNNNNNNNNNNNNNNNNNNNNNNNNNNNNNNNNNNNNNNNNNNNNNNNNNNNNNNNNNNNNNNNNNNNNNNNNNNNNNNNNNNNNNNNNNNNNNNNNNNNNNNNNNNNNNNNNNNNNNNNNNNNNNNNNNNNNNNNNNNNNNNNNNNNNNNNNNNNNNNNNNNNNNNNNNNNNNNNNNNNNNNNNNNNNNNNNNNNNNNNNNNNNNNNNNNNNNNNNNNNNNNNNNNNNNNNNNNNNNNNNNNNNNNNNNNNNNNNNNNNNNNNNNNNNNNNNNNNNNNNNNNNNNNNNNNNNNNNNNNNNNNNNNNNNNNNNNNNNNNNNNNNNNNNNNNNNNNNNNNNNNNNNNNNNNNNNNNNNNNNNNNNNNNNNNNNNNNNNNNNNNNNNNNNNNNNNNNNNNNNNNNNNNNNNNNNNNNNNNNNNNNNNNNNNNNNNNNNNNNNNNNNNNNNNNNNNNNNNNNNNNNNNNNNNNNNNNNNNNNNNNNNNNNNNNNNNNNNNNNNNNNNNNNNNNNNNNNNNNNNNNNNNNNNNNNNNNNNNNNNNNNNNNNNNNNNNNNNNNNNNNNNNNNNNNNNNNNNNNNNNNNNNNNNNNNNNNNNNNNNNNNNNNNNNNNNNNNNNNNNNNNNNNNNNNNNNNNNNNNNNNNNNNNNNNNNNNNNNNNNNNNNNNNNNNNNUAACAGCCUGUGUAUACCAACAUAGUAAUUUGGAUGUUUGAGAAGUUGACCCCGGCUUAAACAACCAUAAAGAAACCUUAUUUCUUGCCUUCACAGAGUAGAGUUGUGGUAGGUUCGGUAAAACCUGCGCUUUGCCUUAGUAACUCAACUUCUUGUCUUGCUGUUCGAGGUGAAGAGUAGAGAUCAAUCGACUCUUGUCCAAGAAACUAGUCCUGUUUGUUGUCAGCGAUAGGUAGCUGCCCGGAGUCAGUCCUGAUUGUCUUUCUAUAGUAGCAGGAUUAGAUGCAAGAUCAUCAACUUAUGAAUUGCCAGUUACAGAAUAAUAAGGAAAUAGACCAGAAGCCGAAGAUCAUACCCACCGGAGCGCUUAAGCUGUUCGAGUGUUGUCUACAAGAUCCGGACCAGAAGAUAGAGCUGGUGAGGAAACAGGAGAAGUUCGGGCAUUGUCUGCAAGAUCCUUUUUUGCAGAGCGGUUAUUUAGCUUUAUUGUCGUGUGGAAUGUGCUUCUUGUCCUUCCGCUCUUGUUGAAUCAUAAAAAGAAUAAGUCUAUUAGGCAGGGAAUAUUACUUCUUUAUAUAUAGGUGUUCCAUAGAUUUGAUUGAUUUCUUAACUUCCAUUGAAAGGAGAGGUUGGCUUUGGGGAAGCUGGAAGGAAAGUAGACCACNNNNNNNNNNNNNNNNNNNNNNNNNNNNNNNNNNNNNNNNNNNNNNNNNNNNNNNNNNNNNNNNNNNNNNNNNNNNNNNNNNNNNNNNNNNNNNNNNNNNNNNNNNNNNNNNNNNNNNNNNNNNNNNNNNNNNNNNNNNNNNNNNNNNNNNNNNNNNNNNNNNNNNNNNNNNNNNNNNNNNNNNNNNNNNNNNNNNNNNNNNNNNNNNNNNNNNNNNNNNNNNNNAAUAGUCCAGCUGACUGACUUGCUAUGUGUUUUAAGAAUGAAGUUAGAUAAGCCUGAGUUCAAAGAGGAAGUAUGGAGGCCCUUAUUAUAAGUUUGUGAACUCAAAUGUAAGAAUAGAGCUCAGUAGUCAAAGAAUGAAGAAGUACCCUAGAUGCGGGGAUUCAGUGCUUGUGUUAAGCCAUGAGUCAAUAGAGAAGUUGUAGCUUGGCGGAUAAGAAUCAAGAGCUGUUUCCGUUCUCAAGUCAGCAGAAGCUAGAGAAGGAUCCGAUCCGGGUGUUGGUAAGAAGAAAUUCCAUGCUUUUUAGUGGAAUUAUUAGUAGUGCUCUGUUCCUGUUCCUGUACUUGUGUAGUAGUGACUUGGCCCGAUGCUCUAGUAGUAGUAACUAAGGUCUUAAUUCCCUAGUGGAGAGCCUCAUUCUGUUAUUGACUACUUUCAUUCUCACUUUAUUACUUCUUAGUUUCAGAAGACCAGACCACUUCUUAUAGUUAGAAUCGUUUCUACCCCUUAUAGUAAAGGUUGGAUAUAGAUACUGGUCAGAUUACUAAUACAUACAUAUAUACUUUAGCUCGAAAGAAAGAAGACUGUCCUGUUGAGACUCGGAACAAGACUCAGUGAGAGUUGAGAAAUUGACAGUGCCAGCAACCAACAGCAAAUAUGACUUGCUACCACUUGUGGCUUUGCUUGUUCCGGUGAUUUAAGCAUUUUCCCCUAGCAGUGGAUUCCCACACUUUUCGCAAGAGUCCCUAGUGUGCGCAAGCCCUUAAUGCGAGUGAAAAUUCCGUUUGUGAGUGUCCAUCAUAUAUAGAAGCGUCGGUAAAGUAGAGUAUAUAAGCUGUCUUCGGAUUCUUAAGCAAGCAGUACAGUCAUUGUAUCAAGAAGCCCACGUAGCGGUUAAGCAGUUAAGUAAGAAAGAGAAACCGGAGCUGUUUUCCAAGUAGCCACUAGUUGACAGAGAGGAGAAAGAAGUAUAUGAGCCCUAGGAGCAAGUCAGAAGAGCUUAGUAUUGGUGCCUAGCCUGAGCUAUAGUAGCCAUAGCUCUCGUUGCCAGAGUGAGAUUCGAUGGAAAGGUAUAGAUAGGAUAAAAGAGUGCAGCAAGUCAGAAUUAUUGUAUAAAGGUAUGGAAUGGCGCCUAUAGAGAACCUGUCCUGUCCGAUAAACAAGUAGUGGAUUGGCGAUGAGAAAUAAUUCAUUGAAAGCCUAUAAACCAGGGGUAUUCGUUAUCAGAGUUGUUGGCUUGAAGACCAGAUUGAGAUAUAGAUAACAGCGCUACCACGCAACAUUCUCCUAAGCUUGGUGGCUUUCACACCAGAAAGAGAGUGACUUGGCCCAUAGUUUAGUCUUCUCUUAAGUGGACAAGUCGUAGUUAAGUUUCAUACCAAGCAAGUAGUCUCGUAGUUGAAUCCCCUUCAUUUGUAGUUACAUCCCCUGUGCAAGUUCUCAAGUCGGAAUUCCACUCAGCAGUAACAGAAUCCGAAUUUCACUCCGCAGUCACAAUAUUAAACCACUAAGAAUCAGAAUGAAACUAGCUUGACCUAGACUUGACUUCUAUUUAAGAACUGCCUGCCCCUUUCACUAAACACAUGGGUGAUACUACUGGAUUAAUGAACUACCUUUUCUCUCUUUUAUCAUUGCUUAACAAAUAGCUUAUACUACUUGCUUAAUUAAGACCUCUUGAAACUAUCCCUCUCCUCUGGCUACGCCGUUCAAUUACAACUUUGCUACGAGGUUCUAUUUAUCUAUAUACUAGUGUCAUUCUUAUACAUACUAGUUUCUGUUCUUCCUUUCCUACUUUCGAUAACUAGGCUCAGUGUUACCGAGAAGUUGGGUAAGUAAACAACCAGCUGACAUCUGACUCUCCUUAUUAGAAGUGCAAACUCUUGAACUCCUCCGAUACAUAUAGUUUCUUAUUUCCUCUUUACCUCUGACAUCUAGUACCUGUACCUCUGACAUCUUUCCUCUUUCACUCCUUUAAUUAAUAGAAUAACCCAUGCUAACCCCCUCAAAGCUGUUCUAGUGCAUUUCUUCUUAAUCACAUAGACCUGCUCGCUCCUAUAUCAGCUCUUUCAAACAAAAACGACACUUUCAUAACAGACCUCGAACUGGAACUGGGCUCUAAUCUACCUCUUUCAACUGCCCAGCUAGUGACCGAUUCAAAUCUCCCGAUGAGUUACAUUAGUAACAAGUGAUUCUAUACCUAUGGCUCCUGUACCUAUGGCUUCUCACUGGAACUUGACUCUCAUCCCUCUCUGGCUCUCUUACCUAGGCGGGGAACAAGACAGAUGUAGUUAGUUGCUCAGUAUACUUGCCUAAUAGCUUGGCAGUUUCCCGUUUCAUUCUUAAGUUCGAGUCGAGGUCAGGUCAGGGCAUAAUCUCGUGUUUCAGACCGGAUAUAGUGUUUCAUACCGGUUGUAAGGAAACUGGGCAAUUCCAUCAGUGUCAUCUACUAUACCUUCAAGUUGUAUAAGUAGAGGAGGGUAAACUAAUGCACUAGAUCUAUUCCUUUCUACUUAUACUCUAUUGUACCUUAUUCUUAGUCGGACUUUGACCCUAUUCUUAGUUGCUAUAAGACUUACUUGUCUUAGUCUGAGUAGUACCCUAUUCUUAUCCAUAUCUUACUUGUCUUAUUCUAUGGAAACUCCCCUUCCCGCAACAAAGCCGAUACUUUCUUCUCUUCUUGACGACCCGACCUCUGUGAUUAAUUAGUAAGAAGUGAUUCUAUACCUCUGGAAACUAUACCUUUCCCUUGAAUCUAACGGAAUUGUCCUGGGAUUGCUACUCCACCUCCGGUUUUGGUGAAGAUACCUCGCUUACUAGCCUUUACUUGACUCAACGCCUACCUCGCCUCUGGCUAGGGGCCAAUACAUAGAGAAUUCCACAAGUUGCUGUCAACUACCUCCAAUAGUAUGGGCGGGAAGGUAAGAUCUUUCUGUGCAAGGGAAGUAUCCAAGAGAAUCAGUUGUCACUCCAUACAUAUUCAUUCAUACUGAAAGAAGUGAACUUAUACUCGCUAAAGCCAAACCAAGCAAGUAAGUAAGUAAGCAGUCAGAUUCCACAGAAAAGAAAGGGAAUAGAGUAGUGAGUAUAGACCCACAGAGCGGUAAUUAUUGAUUCAGAGGCUCAAGGCUAAAUAACCCUGUGGGGUAAGAAAGGACUCUAAAUAAAGGUUAAGGUCAGUAACAACUACAAUACAAGUUAUUACAAUUCGAAGUUCUUACAAUCUUAUACAGCGCUAAGUGAAUCAGUAGAGAUAAGUUCGGGGUCAGGGAAAGUAGUUUACAGUGAAAGUGAAGGAUGCCGGAUUAGGAUCUAAAGCGUGAUCUGUAUCUUCAGCCGAAGUGAAGUAUUGUUUUCGGGAGUUACGUAGGCAGUCAGGUAUUCGAUCUAUAGGAGUCUCUUUCCGUUCUUGGUGAAUCUGUCUUUGUUGUGGCGGUUAAUAACUUCCGGUUUAGAAGAGGUCGCCAAAAGGAAAAGAAGAAAGAGAAAGUACUAGAGCGAUGCCGAAUAAUUCCACUCGACAGGAAUAAUGGAACUGAACUUAAUGGCAAUACCUCCUCCUCACGGCAAUACCUCCUCCUCACGGCAACACCUCUUCUUUGUAUGCUACCUAAACUAUAUUUCCAUCUUGAUUCUUUCGAGCACCUGUGCCAACUCCUUUCCCUGACCACGCCUAAACAUGUUUCAUGAAUGAUCAAUCAGUCAAGCCCCGAGUAGUGGCCUUAUCCUUCUGGUCUGAAGCAAGGUUGCAAUCAUACGAGUUGGUUGCUUCGAAGGUUGCUGUAGAGAGAGAUUAUGAGUUGGCGUAAGGAAAGUGAAACAAACUCUACUCGUAUAGAAACGAGGGAACUCCUUGACCCUUUCCUCUAUCCGCUUAAGCUUGGGUAUUCAUGAAAAAAGAGAUGAAUUAGGCUUUCAAAUAAGAUGAAAGUAGAACAGGAGACUCAUAUACGCCAGCUUCCGCCCUUAACCUAACCUAAGCAUGAGAAAAAAGAUGAGUAUUCGGCUUCCUUGAGUGUGGUUACAAAUCCGUAGGUGCACUCGCAUUCAACGCACUGUAGCUUAUAAGAGUAAGCAGUUAGGUUACUUCAUUCUAUCAUAGGGGAGCAUAGCACUCAAUUCCAUUCUUUCGAACAGAGAUUGCAGCCCUCAAUACAUACCGCACUUUUCCCUCAAACCCUUCACAAGCAUAAAAGCUUUGACUUUAUUACUAUCCAGAUUUCUUCGUACGCUUCUAUAUGCGAUGAAACUAGAACACCACUUUCAGAUUACCCGAUUGCCGCUUUAGACUUAAUGGACGCCCCACUCUAUUGACUUUCUCCUAUAGACGGUGAAGUAAGACCACAUGAGGCAGGUUUCUUAUCCUAGGAUAGAUCUCUCUCCACGACCAAUGUCAAAACCAAUACUAUCUUUUUCUUCACCGACGGAUUCUCACACUGUUGAUUCUCCUGAAGGACUUAGCGCGCAUUAUGAAGUAGAAGAUAUUCUUUGCCGACCCGACCCAGAGCUACAACUACUAGAUACGAUGAAUUAGCCUACUUGAACCCUGACUCGUAUACAAUACAAGGUUUGAGCUACAUCGGUUACGACUUGUACCACUACAAGGAAAAGAAGCCUUAUUGUCUUUGUUUCCAACUCAAUUAGUAGCCACCUAAAACAUAAUGGGCGGUAAAGAACAGGGAGAACUCCACUAAAGUAUAAGGAGCUAUGCACUGAACCAACUCACUACUCGGUGUUGGCUUGAACACUUUUCUUGAGAGUGCAAGGCGAGGCGGGCUGUAAACUAACCCUUAUUUGGAGUCUUUUAAGCCGUGGGUCGGAUCCAUUAGAGUAAUCAACCUAUAAAACAAAACCCCGGUUCGGCUGUUAUAGUUAAUUAUAACCUAGAAAGAGAGACCUGUGAGAGUGGUCAAUAGAUUCUGUCACGCCUUACUGACAUCCAAUAGGGCUUUACAUAAACUGGUUUGAACCCGAGACUUUCAAGUUCUAUGUAGAUUGGCGCUACGGUUACGAGAUCUACUUGUUAUCUUGGCAAAGCGCAUUAAGUAAGUAGAUCCUUUAUACCGAUCCGUGUAGUGGGCAUUCGCAUUCAAUAAAUAUACGAUCAAAGUAAAGCACAACUGAGUAAAGUACUAAAUAAGAGUCAAGAGAUGCUCCAACACCGGCUGACUCUGACUGACGCCACGAAGAGAAGAAGCACCUAUCUCUCCAAGACUUCUUGCUCCGGCAAACUAAACUGUCUUGCUUGCUAAAGAAUGAAUUGAGGAUUUCGAGUCUAGCACAGAAGCUGAAGAUCUACCUGAUUGAUGAAUGGAAUCUUUCUCUUACCCCCGAUUCUCUUUAUUUAUACUUUCUACUUUCUCUCGGUGACCUUAAGAACUCUACUUGCGUCUUCAACCAAUUAACUGUUUCUUUUCCAGCGGAAUAGGGAAUUGAUUCUGACCUUCAUCCUGCAUUCUUUCCCGUUGACUCGAUACCUGCCUAUAAGAUUUCUUUGCUUUGCCCCAGGUGAGGUGCACCAAAUGAUCUUCUUGUGGAGUUUGUUCAGAGGUUCGGUUAGGUUACUUACUGUGCCUCUCUAUCUUAUACUUCUAUUUCCAAUUAUCCUCUAUCGUGGUUCAACUCUCCACUCUGUUACUUGUUCUCGUAACUCGCUAAGGAACUCCUUUAUACUAAGCUAGUUGGAACGUAGCUUGUAGGAAGCAAUUCUUUGUUGUUUCAAAAUUCCAUAUUAUGCAAGAGAGAUCAAAUGAUUACUUGACUUCAUUCACACUGGCCCAAACUCCAAUUAUCUGUCUUGCUCGUGGAAGGUAUCAUAUCUCGUCACAAGUUGCGAUUCAAUUAAAGCAAGCAAACAAGCAAGAAAGGCAAAGCUGUAUCGCUCGCGCAUCCAUUCAUUCGUUCUUAAAAGAAACAAGCGAGCAACUAUACAAGCAAGACGGAACAAGAAGCAACGGCAAGGCAAUAAGAAGAGAUUACUUAAAGCGAAGAGAGUACUUAAGGGUUCGGAAAGGAAGCAAUGCUCGGUUGUUAGUAAGGAAAGGUGCUGAAAGCCAGUUUGUUUCAUCUCUUAUAUAUUCUGUUAUAGCUCCCAUUCUUUAAUAAGUUCCGUAUUCUGCUACUAUUCUGGAAUAAUAUUUAUAUGAUAUGCGAUCUAGAUGAAUUAACUUAUUAAUAUCAUAUGCGAUUGAUUUCAAUGAAAUUCCUGGCCUGGGCGCGCUGCCCUACUUGCCCUACUGCUCGACAAAGUAUCAAGUUGCCUUUUUUGGGGCCCAGACUUAUUGUUAAUGGUUGCUUCAGCAGUAGAAAGUUGCUUCGACCCCGGUGAAGUAGCUCCCUAACGCUAAUAACUCAACAAACAAAAAGCAAUGGCAACAUUGCGCUAACGUGAGUUUGCCGGCGAAGCAAUACUGGAAGAAAAUCAUACCUAUACAUAGUAUACUUACCCCAACCUAGCCUGCCAGUCUAACAUUUCUUAACAAAAGAGAGAGCAUUGCUAAAAUGAGCAUAUCUUAGCUCUUAAGUGUUUGCUUUCUUUCAUUUCAUAAUAAAGUGGAUGGAAUUCAAUCUUACUUGAGCCAGGUAAGGGUAAGCGAAAGAAGGGGGGAGUAACACAGUGUUGGUUGUUAAUAUCUUAUAUGUUAUGAUAGCUAUCUUCCAGCACAGGAUAGGGAGGAAAUAAUGAGUGUUUUUACUUUUCAAUAGAUUCUUUCAUUAGAUAGAAUUAUCCUAUUUUGGAAUAUAAGAGCAAAAGACAAGCAUAUUGUGGAAUAUAAGAGCAAAAGAAAAGUCAUCAAUCAUAAGAAAUAGAUUCCCGCCUCGCCUGUGCUUCGUAUCAUAAGAAUUGGCGCUUGCUUUCUUAUCCAGUGCUUCGUAUCUGAUCGCGCUAUAGGGGAUUCGGUACCGCAAUAAUAGGUCUUUCUGUCUGCCUAACAAAAGAGAAAUGGCCGUAAGUCUACUUAGUUCAUUCAUGCUCAUAAGAUUCUACAAGGGCCAAGCAACUAAGCGCCAAGCAACUACGCAAGUCCUGUAUACUUGACUGGUAAGAAAGAGCUGCUGUUAAGAACUGGAACACUUGUGUAUGUACUAUUACCUUCUCUUAGCGUGCACAGUUGCAUGCUGCCUUAGGCAUAUAUCUCUUUCUUAGUUUGUUUCAAGCUUUCCUUAUAAGUUAGUUAGUUUCUUCCUUAUAAGUAAUAUAUCUCUUUCUUAGUUUGUUUCAAGCUUUCCUUAGAAGUUAGUUAGUUUCUUCCUUAUAAGUAAUAUAUCUCUUUCUUAGUUUGUUUCAAGCUUUCCUUAGAAAGUUAGUGUUUAGUAAUGAAUAAAUGUUGUGUAUGUUUCGUCUAUAAGCAAUUCUUUUGUAGUAACACGGAAAGGCAGGCAACUCUUACACCCUAACUCGUGGAAAGUGAGGCCCGCUCGGGCGGCUUCUUAUUGGAUUCCUAGUGUCUACUUUCACUGGUCAAUCAAUCUUUCUUUAUUUCGUCAUGGCACUAAAGAAUCGAUAAAGUAUGUUAGCAUGCAUCACUCAUUACUAUUCGGUACUAAAGGAGAUGGAAAAGCCAGUAUCCGCAGAGCCAGCCUAUAAAGUAGAGUAGGUCCCCUGUAGCAGAUGGAAAUCCAAUGCUAAAGUAAGUGGUGACUUCAGCUGCUAAAUAGGCACAUAUAGUUAACAAGUAAUGUACUUCGGGUGGGAGAGCAUAUAUUCAUUCGGUACUCUCAAGGUCCAAUUGGCAUUCAAAGAGGUUCAUCGCCUCACUUCUCCAAGCGCCGGAUAUUAGGAUAUUUAGUACUCUGAUUUGAGUACUCUGAUUUGGAUUAGGUUAGGAACCAUUUGCUGUUACCUGCAUUGCGAAUUCUUAGGCUAGGUUCCCGUCCCCACUUUCUCCAUUUUAGGGUUAGGGUCCAAGCAACUAGGCGUGGAAAGCAUAUCCCUUACUCGCAUUCGCCUAAUCGAGCAGAAGGCCACUCGGUGAUCAUCCUAUAACUGGCUAGAGUGAGUGUCACAUUACCUAUAACAGGCUAGUUUGAAUGCAGUAAUUAAGGGCACAGGUUUCUAUGGUUCUAUUUAGUCCUGAUUGAUGAGGGUUGUCAAAGACCGGAUCUUUGCACUUCGCAACCCUAUCAGAGUAUGUGCUUAGUGCAAGGCCUCAUAGAAGUUAUAGGUAAUGUAGUAAUACGAGCUCCGGCCCUCAUCUCAUACAAAAUCAACAAGUUAAUGGAUGUUCCCAGUAUUUUCUUGGACCCGAUCACUUUCACCUUUGAUAGAUCAUGGCGGUUUAGUUGGUUUGGGAAGUUUAGUUGAGACUGGGCACGUGCGUCAUCAAAAUGGAAAAGGUAAAGAAGAGAUGGAGGCUCGAAGAGAGGAGAGCCAUUUGCAUCGACCGCUCCUGACGCCAUGAAUACCAAUAACAGUACAAGUAUGGAUCGCCUCUAUAUUGUGUGGGUGUUUCUACUAUUUCUUCAAGCUAUGGAAAAUAAUGCGUAUUGUAUGCCAUUCUCCCAUCAUACUUUCGUUGGAAAACCCAACGCCAAGUCAAACAAUUUGUCUCCUUUCACUUUUCGGGAGCAGAGCAGUAAAAGAAUAGCAAUUCUCAAUAAUGGAAGAGUUCUUCUGGGGAUGUGACAUAUAUCAAACCAAGGAAAUACAAAGUAAGCAAAUAGACGCUACAAUACUCAUGGAAAAAAUCGACUAUAAGAAUGACUUACUAAUGGAUAAAAUACACUAUCAAAAUGAUGAAGUACAAAGUGAGCAAAUAUACUCUCUUCCCCAUUUGAAGGAAAUAACAAGAUUGAGUGCGGAAAUGAGGAUACAGGACUGCAACAGCUUAAGCCCACUUGAGCAAUUUACCAUUCACCCAUUAAUUCUGAUUCGUGGGGGCAACUAUUAUUUCUCAUUCACAAAUCCAUCCUUGUCUCUGCUGCUCACUCUCGGUUUGGUCCUACUUCUGCUUUUUUUGGUUACGAAAAAGGGAGGGGGAAAGUCAGUGCCAAAUGCUUGGCAAUCCUUGGUAGAGCUUCUUUAUGAUUUCGUGCUUAACCCAGUAAACGAACAAAUAGGUGGUCGAAAUGUGAACCAAAAGUUUUUCCCUUGCAUCUCGGUCACUUUGACUUUUUCGUUAUUUUGUAAUCCCCAGGGUAUGAUACCCUAUAGUUUCACAGUUACAAGUCAUUUUCUCAUUACUUUGACUCUAUCAUUUUCUCUUGUUAUAGGCAUUACGAUCGUUGGAUUUCAAAGACAUGGGCUUCAUUUUUUGAGCUUCUCAUUACCAGCAGGAGUCCCACUACCGUUAGCACCUUUUUUAGUACUCCUUGAGCUAAUCCCUCAUUGUUUUCGUGCAUUAAGCUCAGGAAUACGUUUAUUUGCUAAUAUGAUGGCCGGUCAUAGUUCAGUGAAGAUUUUAAGUGGGUCUGCUUGGACUAUACUAUUAUUGAAUAAUGUAUUCUAUUUCAUAGGAGAUCCUGGUCCUUUCUUUAUAGUUCUUGCAUUAACCGGUCCGGAAUUAGGUGUAGCUAUAUUACAAGCUCAUGUUUCUACGAUCUCAAUCUGUAUUUACUUGAAUGAUGCUACAAAUCUCCAUCAAUAUUAGUUCUUUCAUAAUUGAAUCAAAAUGAGGAGCCGGGCAACUGCUAUGCUUUUGCAGCUCAUUUACAUUACUUGGAUUGGAGAGCUAUCAACUAUCCUUUUGGAAGCGGAUAGUAUACAGUGCUAAUUCUCCAAAAUACAUAGGAAAAGCCAACUCAUCAUGAUAUUUCCACUCCAUUUUCAUUACGAAGAUGUCUCACGUCAGGAUCCGUUGCUCAAACCGAAUCACGCCAACGUUAUGGAAGUUCCUGGAUCGUUUGAAAUCAGAUUAGUACCAUCAGCUGCCUUCAUUAUUCCAUUUUCUAAGUUCGCUAUGGAGAUGGAGUGCGGUCAGAGAUUCAUACAGAAACAAAGGAGCCCUUAUUUCCAAGCUGGAAAGGUCAAGUCGUUUCGAUCCAAUACUUUCUUGGGAUCUGAAAAAGACACUGCAUAUGUCAGUGACUUUGAACGACAAAGCGCUCUCCGAGGGCUUGGAAUGUCACAUUUGAUGGUCAGAAUCUCGAUGGUAAUGUCUAUAUUAGAUUCUAAGGUCGAAAUACGGGAAAACCCCAUCCAAUUCUCGAUGGAAACAGAGUUUUUCGAAUUCUCCCCGGAACUAGAAGAGCAUUUCGAGAUCUUCGAGCAUAUUAAAGGGUUCAAUGUGACUAUUGUGACUUCGGCCAACACAAAAGAUGAGACUUUACCAUUGUGGAGCGGCUUUUUGCUAAAAGAUUAAGGGGAGACUAAGUCAGAUGUCGGAGAAGCGAAAUAUACUUGAUCACAAACGUAGAUUGCUUGCGGCUAAAUAUGAAUUGAGACGAAAGCUUUAUAAAGCCUUUAGUAAGGAUUCCGAUCUUCCAUAUGAGAUGCGGGACAAGCUUCGUUAUAAGUUGUCCAUGUUGCCAAGAAAUAGUGCCUUUGCACGAAUAAGAAACCGAUGUAUUUCCACGGGUCGCCCUCGUUCCGUAGUUAAGUUCUUUCGCAUUUCUCGUAUUGUUUUUCGUGGAUUAGCAUCUCGAGGUCCUUUGAUGGGCAUUACAAAAUCCUCUUGGUAGCACAACAAAGGUUAUAGCUCCGAAGCUGGUACACAAGCAAGGGUUUUAGGUACAUUACCAUAUGGCUCCUGACCGAAAAGACCUAAUAGAGUAAUCCCAACUCUCGCAGCAGAGAUGAUAACAGCACGGGAAUCGAUUGGCUCUCCACCGAAUCAGACAUAGACUUCAAGCUGGGUAGUACUCUUGGAAAGAUAGAAGAUCACCCCGUGAACAACAUCUAAAGUGACGAAUGGCACCACCAAGACAUUAUUAACAAUUCUUUUUCCAUUGUCAGAGAACUCUUGUUCAUGUUCACGCCUACGUGCUGAGCCCACCAUUUAAGUCAGAGUCUGGGAGUGGGCCCCAUUACUAACACAACCAAAUAGGGUUCCAAAUGAGAAAGACCAAUAUGUUAUUCGUUUCGUUGGUAGAACCUACGCUCAUUUUACAAUAUGAUAGUUGAUUGACUCUCUCUCGUCCAAUAAAAAGCCAUAAUAGUAUAUCCGAGAGUCAAGUCACUUUCAACACUUCUGAUUCUCUCCUUUCCAAAGCUCCACAAGGCAAGCAAAAUACGUCAAGUAAUAGGAGUCGAAAUUCCAUAAGUAAUAGGACAUGACAUACUGUAGUAGCUUGGUUUGUUCAUUGGUCUUUCUUUCUUUUUGAGUUCUUUCUUAGUUUAGAUGGAAAUCGACGUUCUUUUCCAAAGUAGUAGGGCACUUCUUAAUUCAAGGCUUUUCUUUCAUAGGGUUCUCUUAAUGACUAGUCGUUUGAAGCCUUAAUCAAUCAAGUUUCCGUUUCUUUUGCUUGGCCCGUUGCCCAGUCACAGCCUCCUUCUCGCCCAAAUUGGAUUAAUGCAGGCAGCUUUUUUCUGAUUCAGGGCGCAGCGAAGCCCAUUUCUAUAUCAAGGCAAAGAGAUCAAAUAAGGGGAAGAGGAGUUUUCACGAAAGAAGAUAAAUGACUCUAAGGAACCAACGAUUCUCUAUUCUUAAACAACCCAUACCCUCCACACUUAACCAGCAUUUUAUAAAUUAUCCAACUCCGAGCAAUAUUAGUUAUUGGUGGGGUUUCGGUCCGUUAGCUGGUAUUUGUUUAGUGAUUCAGAUAGUAACUGGCGUUUUUUUAGCUAUGCAUUACACACCUCAUGUGGAUCUAGCUUUCAACAGCGUAGAACACAUUAUGAGAGAUGUUGAAGGUGGCUGGUUGCUCCGUUAUAUGCAUGCUAAUGGGGCAAGUAUGUUUCUCAUUGUGGUUCACCUUCAUAUUUUUCGUGGUCUAUAUUAUGCGAGUUAUUGCAGUCCUAGGGAAUUUGUUCGGUGUCUCGGAGUUGUCAUAUUCCUAUUAAUGAUUGUGACAGCUUUUAUAGGAUACGUACCACCUUGGGGUCAGAUGAGCUUUUGGGGAGCUACAGUAAUUACAAGCUUAGCUAGCGCCAUACCAGUAGUAGGAGAUACAAUAGUGACUUGGCUUUGGGGUGGUUUCUCCGUGGACAAUGCAACCUUAAAUCGUUUUUUUAGUCUCCAUUAUUUACUCCCCCUUAUUCUAGUAGGCGCCAGUCUUCUUCAUCUGGCCGCAUUGCAUCAAUAUGGAUCAAAUAAUCCAUUGGGUGUACAUUCUGAGAUGGAUAAAAUCACUUCUUACCCAUAUUUUUAUGUAAAGGAUCUAGUAGGUCGGGUAGCUUUUGCUAUCUUUUCUUCCAUUUGGAUUUUUUAUGCUCCUAAUGUUUUGGGGCAUCCCGAUAAUUAUAUACCUGCUAAUCCGAUGUCCACCCCGCCUCAUAUUGUGCCGGAAUGGUAUUUCCUACCGAUCCAUGCCAUUCUUCGCAGUAUACCCGACAAAUCCGGAGGUGUAGCCGCAAUAGCACCAGUUUUUAUAUCUCUGUUGGCUUUACCUUUUAUGAAAAAUAUGUUUAUUCGUAGUUCCAGUUUUCGCCCGAUUCACCAAGGAAUCUUUUGGUUGCUUUUGGCAGAUCGCUUAAUACUAGGUUGGAUCGGAUGUAAACCAGUGGAGGCACCAUUUGUUACUAUUGGACAAAUUCCUUCCUUUUUGUUCUUCUUGUUCUUUGCCAUAACGCCCAUUCUGGGACGGGUUGGAAGAGGUAUUCCAGAUUCUUACACGGAUGCAACUUGAUCAAACACCUGAUCAGUGCAUUUUUCUUACAACCAACAGUUUGCCAUUAACGAGUCCUUUGAGUAUAUUACACUAUGAAUUUACAAGCAGAUGAGUUUUAGGCCUUGUUGAUAGAGGCUUAGAUAGGGAGAAAUCAAAUAGGAAAUAAAAAGAACUGGGCUAGACGUAGUAUAAGGCUGAAGAGCCAGGGUAAGGCGGCACCAAACAAGCAAGAGAAUGAAAAGGACACUCCAAAGCCUAAUAACGACAAUGCAGAGUUAGGUCCAGGGGCGGAAGGUAACGACAAUGCAGAGUUAGGUCCAGGGGCGGAAGGUUCAGAAGUGUCAACUAAAGACUUUAAGACAAGAGUUUCGGUUUGGGAGUUACGAGUGUUAUUGAGGUCUCUCUAUAGGACAGGACUACUGGGCUUAGUUGGGUCUUCCACUUAUGAGCUUAGUUUGGUCUUCCACUUAUGAGUUUUCUUCCUAUUAUCGGUUAGUUAAGUCCCAAGUUCCCGGAUUAACGCUUAGGAGCAAUAGUCACAUUCUAAUAGAGUAGAGGGCCUUGCUGGGUCGUACCUAUGAGUUGAAGGAAUUGGAUAAGGUAGAGGCGGGCUCGGGUAAUAGAGAGUAAGGCUUAGCUAAAGUAAAGACAUACUAUGUUGGGGAAGUAUUUAGAAUCAAUGUCAAGAAUAAGAAUAUAGGACUAAUAGGCAGUAGCACCAGGGACAACUAUAGGAAUUUUUCUACUAAAUAGAAGGAUGGAACUGUACCAGUAUGAGAAUUGAUUACAUAACUAGAAGACUGAACCCACUGCUACAAAGCAUGGAACCACUGCCUUAUAAUACGAGAACUCUCAAGUCAGAAUCCACUACCAAUGGGGCUUUCGCUGCUACUGAUGAGACCAACAACACUACAAAACACUGAUGAUACUUAACCAGCAAGCCCAGUCUUACUUCGAUUCUUCCUCUCCUGGAUCUAAGCCUAUCUUUACUAGCUAUCAAAAUAGCACUACUGAUGAUCUGGACCCACCAAACAAGCCUGUCGCUACUGUCUUUGAUUUUGACUUGACCUGAUUUCAACCUAUAUUAGUGCCCAGACAUACUUUAUCUUAUAGUAAAUAAGAAACUACUGAAGCAAAAGCAAGGCGGAAAUGAAACCAAAUAUCACCGAUAGAAUGGGACCAACCCCACUAGUCAUUUGGAUUCUUCUCCAGCAUUCUAUCCGGUAUACUUUCCCGAUCUCAUAUCUGUAUGUAUUUGUAUCCGGCACUACUUCUCUGCUUUCUGAUUCAGUUAACUUACAAUAAUGAUUCCUUUGUCACAAUAUUACUAUGUGUUUUAUCAUAGAAGCUAAUGAAGUAAGCUUGGCAUGUCACGGGGGGCAAUAAGGCUUUAUUCUCUGCGCGAUCAUGAACUAAGUCAUUGAUUCAAGAUUUGACUACUGGCGAGUAAGGAACGGCAGGUACAAGUCAAAGAGUCAAAGUCCGGAUCCGAAUCUUAAGUUGUAGCAUGAAAAGCAGGAUCAGUAGCCUGAGAAAGGUAAUGUGGGCAGGCUGCGAGAUAGGGUAUAUCGGAUUGAAAGCAAAGAGAUAGUUUUAGAGUAGAGGCGAACUACAGAGCACUAACAACAGUAGAAGAAUCCAAGGUGAGCUAAAGAAUGUAAACAGUUAGGGUGAGUUUGAGAUAUCGCCCCGUAGAUAAAGAACUCAAGUAAGGAACGUAAGAGUGGACAAGUUAACUACUAGAUUCAAGUAAGCCAGGGCGGACCAAUAGAUAGUAUAGUAUAGUUGUUGUAGUCAGAAUCAAAGCUAGUAAGGGCACCUGUCCGGUGGCAACCUAUGUGUUUUAUACGAGCUCUAAGGCGGACAUUGGUAGUAGUUCUAAUUUCACUAAGAAGUAAGGGUAAGUUAUCUAGGGCUAAGAGUCAGAAGUAAGGAGAAGUUAUCCAAGGCUAAGAGUCAAAAGUCAAAGAAAGAAGGACUACGGAAUGCAAGGAACAACUAGGGAUUGAACUCAGCAGUAUAAGAAUGAGUAGAUGUCUCAGGGAAUAUAACUCAGUUGUAGGAGCAUAGGUAGUAGAAUCCAACUUAGUAAGAUACCCAGCUCCAAGUUCCACUAUUAGAAGCAGUGGUUACAGUCUCUCUUUUUCUUUUUUGAGUUCUGUAUUAGCAUUUCUAUUCCGAUUAGUGGUAGCUCUAGCCUCUUUGCCCAGGUUCUACUCUAAUAAGUUGUGGUUUUAUUCCCACAGUUGAGCUGUGAGUUCUGGCUUCUUUCGUAGGUGAUGCUUACUUUGAUGCUGAACUUACUUAUGACAAUUCCUGUGUUCAGGAACAAAUGAAUAUAUAUUAAUGAGCUAUGAGCUAGUACAGUUUUCUAGAGUAUGGUUGACUUUCCUUGCACAGGCUAUUCUUCUUUUUAGGACUUAGAGCUAGAGCACCCUAAACUAUCCUUGACCUUGAAGACCCGAUUGCUGCUUAAACCAAAGAUUCCCCUUUACCAGAACCAGAACUCGAACUAGACUGAACUCGCCCUCAAAGAGAUUAUCGUUGACACCUUGCCUUACUUAUAUGCAUAAUAACAGUCAUGCGGUAUAACAGUCAUAGGGAAGAUUGCUGAAUAGCCUUAUACUCACACUCGAGCAGGACUACGAACUAAACUACCAGAAGUCAAGUAUCCACGUUCAGAAGCAAGUGAACCAUAAAGGUGUUAGGAAGAAAUGAACUCUAAACUUCCCGCACUGGUAAGAAUUCUGGUAUCAAAGAAAUGGAGUUAGAUGCAACUUACUAUAGGGGCCUCUAUUGCCUCUGCCCUUAUAAUUAGCAGAUGGUGUGAAAGCCUUCCACUCAGAAUCUAGUAUUGAAAGAGAAGUCUCCGAGGCAGGCAGGAACACUUGAAUACUAAUAAAGGUCUUCUACUAAUAAUCAUAAGGGAUCUACAAUUGACCACCCCGGUUCCAUAUUGACUACCCAGGGCAGGUUCUCUCUCGGACUAAAGAAUAACUACUAGCUUUGAAGCGGAAGAUGUAUCUAACUAUAAGUAGAAAGUAAGCACUCGAACAAGACCUUCAACUUAAUGCUUUUUGAACUAAUUAGCAACUUUCUGUAUUUCUUGAUUGCAUUCUUUCCUCUCCUCUUUUGCUUAGCUGGCUCCGAUCAAUCCUUUGACUCAAUAAAGGCAUCUCUAUUUACUACUUUCCUCUUGAACUCCUAAUAAGUAAACUCUCUCUUUCCUCUUUCACUCCGAGGCAUCUCUAUUUACUGCUUUCGAGGGUAGACAGGGGAAUUUGCCAGCAGGUAUUCUUUAUUUCUUAUGAAUUCAAUGAAUGGAGUUCCACUCGCUUAAGGCUAGGCCCAUAACGUUCAAUUCAGAAUUCUUGCCAUAGUAGAGGUCGGUGCAGACUUAUAUAGGUUGGUGCAGACUUAGAUGGAGAUGAGGCUUCUAUAUAAGAUUCAAGAGUAUAUGCCCUACUGGACAAGCUGACAAGGAACUACUGGAGCAAUAAACCCUGUCUCUACUCCGAUAACUAUACUAGCUCAUAUGUAAAUCAGGUCUUCAAGCCACCAAGCAACUACUACAAACUAGACUUCCACUUAGGCUCUGUGAACUCAGGCUCAUCCACAGGGGAGUCAACAACUACUGUUAUUGCUCUGGACUACUCUCCUCAAGCUACUACUACUACUACUAGAAGUCACAACUACUGAUGAAACGGGACUACUACUAGUUUCAGGGUGAAAAACCCAUUCUUUAGCUGUCAACUCCCUUUCCUUACUUAACUGUCACUGAUAGAGACUAUAAGCCAACUAGCACUUGCACUGAUAGAGACUAUAAGCCAACUAGCACUUGCACUGAUAGAGACUCUAAGCCAACUCAUUCCCUUAUGGCUUCGAAGCCCGCACUUUCUUCUUCCUCGGACACCAAUAACUUAAGGGAAGGGCAAAGGACUCCUCAAGGUCAGAAAGAUGUAGAAUGAUGUUUACUUUACACAGUGGGAAUCCCCAUAGAUGAGCCAAGACACAAGGCAAGUCACUCUACUAACGACCGCCAAGGCACGACUAAUGACCCAGCAACUAGGCAAGGUCUAGAACACAACUUGGCCAAGACACGACUAAUGUGUAGCGUCAGUGAAUAGUUAUUUGAGAGUUAUGUACGAGUCCAGUUUUCAUUGUCUAGUAGUUUCUUGUCUGGUUAUAUAAUAUGUUGUUUUUCAUGUUGUUUUUCUCUUAGCGCCCUUACUCGACUUUCAGAUACGCUUGCAGAUGACCUUACUUUAGUUAACUCCCUGAUUUCUGUCCCGCUGACUUCAGACGGAACCUCAUAUUCCUCUAUGAUUCAAUAAUAACAACCUACUACAUAGAAGAUACAUUAAAUAAGUGUGUGACGCCCUUGACACUUGACCGACACUGUUGAUGUUGAGAAUUGUGUCUUAACUGUAAAAGAUAUAGGAUGAAACUCUAACUGCUUCUUUAUAAUAAGAUGAAACUUAUUGUUUUGUCCCGCCUUACCCUUCCUUUAAGUAAUCACUUAUUGUUCCUUUGAAACUGUCCGGAUAAUGCAUUGACGCCUAAGAACAUAGAAAAAAGACCUCCUGCUCGGCUCUUGGCUUGAGUCAGUCCACGGCAGCUACAGGGGUAAGUGGUGCAAGAGAGAUUCAAAGAGAACAACGCUUUGAGAGAGAUUCAAAGAGUGCGCAAUCAAGAUAUCUGAAAACACCUUUGAAAUGGAAUGAAAGGUUGACCUUCUUCACUGGCCCAACAAACUAGCCCUUCCAUACUGUUCCCCUACUAGAUUAUUGCAAGUAUAAAGUGAACCCUUCCAUACUGCUAUCCUACUAGAUUAUUGCAAGUAUAAAGUGAAGUUGAAAGAAAGGAAGCAAAGGAAGCAAAGCUGGUGGGAGUGCUCUUUAAAGUAGGUAGCUCGCUGGUAGGAGUGCGCCGCCCACUAAGUACUUUUGUAUAUAGUUCCAUAAGAGAAAGAAGCGCUUGUGCUAACGCUAAUGGGAGUUUCGGGACGCUAACGCUUAUUGUCUCCGGAUGGGGUGGCAUUGUUUGGAGUGAACAAGUCACUACUUCAGUCGGUAAAGUCGAAGAGAAAGAAGAGGUUAAGGCAGCAAGAUCCAAUCUUUCUUAUGGACUCCCCCGUAGGUCUGGUCGGUCUUCUUAACUAUAAUGGCAAGAUUCGCUGCUCCUCUAGAAUCCGUAUUCUUAUUCUUAUUAAAUCUGUCGGUCUCAAUUCCCGUCUUUCAAUCUUUACUGCUUGGUUAGCUAUUAUAGAGUUUGGUAAUGAAACGGAUUGCCUUAACUCUCAAGUAGGAAUUCAAGAAUGCACUUAAGUAGUUAGAGAAUGAAAGUAAGCAUAGUGGGAGUCAAAGACAGACUCAAAACAAUUAGAUAAAGUAGGUAGGGUUGUUCUCCCUAGUGGGUGUGCUAGAUAAGUACCUGUAUUCUUCAUUCCUUGAUUCAUUCCUUCCAUUAGUCUUGAUUCAUUCCUUCCAUUAGUGGUAUAGUUCUUCCUAUUCGUAUUUGAUUUCUUUAUCACUGCCUAGUUGGUAACUCCUUAUUCUUAGUUUCCAGUAUAAGUGCUUCUUACUAGAUUCAUUCUUUUGAGUGGCUUGGCUCUUACUUUCAACUAGCACUCCCGGCUCAUCUCAUCUCUUUUCACUCCGGCUUCUAUCUAUACCUCUGGCUAGGUAAGUGAACUAGACUUAACGAGUUCAGAUCCUUUGCCCACAACCAGACUGAAACUUAUAUGCUCAACUCAGUUAGUGCUUCUGCCUCGCCUCUUUCUCUUAGGAAUGACGCAACUACCGGAGUAACUGAAUGAAACAAUAAUCUAUCAUUUGAAACUAGGCUCUUAGCACCUUAUAAUUCAUUUGAACCAAACAUCUUAGUGGGUUCGACUUAGGAUUCCACGCCUGUCAUGUAAGAGAGUCUGCCCCGACCCAUAUCAUGAGUUUAGUAAAACUCUGAUCCAACAAGGGGAGCUUCUUGCUUCGGUGUUAUAGGGAUGGAAUUGGGAACUUGGAAUGCAGGAAGGGCUAACAAGAAUCGAUCCCUGGGGGCAUAAAAAAGCACUCGUCAAGCAACUAUACUAGCUAUUAGAAUAGAACUGUGACUAACAAGGCUUCACCUCUCCACUGCAGACUUGCCCCAGCGCUUCUCAUAAGAAAACUACUAAUUGAAGGGGCUAAUCCACUACUCAAAAGUCUAAGAACCAAGCCCUCUCGCCUGGAAUGAAUUGCACUAAUUAAAGAAUUGUCAUUACAGAAUUGCACUCAGUAUUUCCCUUGUAUAUCUUGCUAAAUCCUCUGGUUCUUAUGCUUCCUUACCAGCUCUGGCUACUGCUACUACUGAUUCAUUCUCAUCCCAAGUCCUGUGCUCGGGAACUCACUAAUACACAAGCAAAUAAGCCUUUGAUGUCCCCCACCAAGUCAUAGAGAUAAGAGUGGUAUGUAUCUAUAGGCCAGUUCAUUCUUUAAUGCAUCAACACCUUUCAUAGCUUCCCUUGCCCACCCCUAUCCCAGUAUUGGAAUGAAACAAGGCAGACUACGACCUACACUAACUCCUUAUUUACCACAAUAGCGCAUGUCACUAGUGAUUACCGGGUAGUUACGGACUUAUUCUGAAGUUGACCCUGGCUUUCCCCUACAAGUAUUCUCAGAGCAUUGUCGGUAGGCAAGAUUGGGAAUUUCUUCCAACAAUGGAAGUUUACCCCCCGUAGAGCUCAGUUCUUUGCUUUCCCCUGCCCUGACGCACUUGAGCAAUUGGGCCCUAAUACUACAUUGCUAGCGCAUAUCUCAUAUCUGAAUUCUUCUGAAGCACUAACAGAGCUGCCAAGUAGUCCAUUUGGAGAGUUGAGAUCAGAAAGAGAGAUUCUUGUUUAUAAAGAUCGAAUUUAUAUGUCAUUUCUUAUACUUGGUGUGUACUGAGUGUGUAUAGUGAAAAUCCAAGUGGUUUUCUAGUUUCCGGUGUGCGAGGACAGGACACAGAUCUUUCUUCUGCCGUUGCUAGUUUGCUUGGUUAUGCGCUAGGAGUAGAGUUAGAAGCUUACGGAGUGAAAGCUGAAACAAGUAUUCAGGUAAUUAAUUAUACCACUUAGCAGGCAACUAAUAGGCAAGAAAGAAUAAGGUAUGACCCAUACUCUGCAUAUAAACUAAAGUAAGGCAAUAAGCCAUAAGUAUUAGUAUAAGGCAACUCUGUAAGGCAAUAAAGUGAUACGCUAAAGUAUGUCAGGGAAUUAAGUUACUAGUGAAUGACUUAGCAACAAGGCAAUAAAGGUUUCAAAGAAAUAGUAUAUCCCCUCACUCAGUAAGGAAAGACAGAAUAGUUAGUCUUAGCUACAAGGCAAGAAGGAAUACUAACAAUAUCCUAAGUAACAGACAGAAUUGAACUUAGCUACAUUGCCUCCAAGACUAUUUAAUUAGCAACAAGGCAAUCAGGGAAUAAAUGAUGACUGAACUCCUUUGCUACUAAUAAGCAUCUAGUUAAUCACUUAGCUCCAAGGCAUAGCUCAGUAGCAAUUAGUAUAUAACUCCUUAGCUACAUUGCUUCCAAAGUUCGAAUUCCACCCCUUAUUAGAAUCCGUAAAAGAAGAAGAAUCAAACUCAUAAGUAGGCGAGUAAGAGACAACCUCCGAAGUCGGAAUGAAAGAAUGAAAAGGGCUGUUCCAGAAUGCAACUAAGAGGUGAGCUAGUGCGGCUAAGCCUGAUGCUACGGAUACUAAGGCUGAAGCUGCUAAGGGAGAGAAUGGAACAGUGCCUGCUAAGUCCGAUGCUAAUGGUAUUGAUGCUAGGUAUUGCUGCUAAGACUUAUGCGGUGUCUACUGAUUCUAGGUAUUACUCUAAGAGGUCCUAUGUUCGUGGUGCUAAUGUCGUUGCGCAAGACAAGACUUAAGUGUGUUAGAGAGUUCAGAGCUCACCGAACAAGUAAGGGCCGAGCUGAAGAAGAGACGAUACUUAAGUAAAAGGAGCUACUGCGAGCGGAACAGAGAACUCAACCAAUUUAUGGCAUUUGAUUGUUUGCACCACUGUAGGGAUAGAAUUAUGUAACCAAACAGCCUCUAUACCUGCCAAAUAGCUGACUCGCAACUCGGGGUGUCGAUAUGAGUGAUUAAAGCUAUGCUAUGGUUGGUAACUCCACUUCUUGUCCUGCAGGAGCUCCUUCCCCUUGUCGUUUCGAGUUCCGUUAUUGGCUUGACGACGUCUAUGAGAGAGGUUAAGUUCUUGGCUUGAUCAGUGUAAUCGUAUAUUAAGUAAUUAAGGGUCAGAAUAGAAUCAGAGGCGACGGGGUAUCAACAGGGUUGCGCAAGCAAAGUUAAUGAGUGCUAUCCAUAUAAAUCUCAAAUGGAAUGCUUGUUCGCAAGUCAGCGCUAAAGGAAUCUCAGCAGCCCGCUCAAAGUACUUUACUUCAGUGGAUUCUCUUAAAGCAAGGGUGCAAGACAGUAUAGACAGAGCGAGGCCCCCAGGUAGUAAGAGUUCAAGAAAGGAGUCUAAGCCUAAGAGUCAAAGAGUGAAGUCAAAGGCCUUGAGGGGAUCCAGUUUUCAAUCAAGGAGUAGCAGACUGAUGGAUAGACACAGGAAUGUCAGUAACAAGCCUAUUCGCAGUUUUUGUUUCCCCAGAUUUCGAUUCCGGAGUGGAAGAAUGAGCUAACGGAGUAGUUACUUUUAUCUUGUGCUAAUGAGUUAAAGUCUGAUGCUUACAACUAUGAGUAUUAGAGCGUAGGAGCUCUGUUCGAAACACGGAAUAGGGAAAUAUAGACUUUCAGCAAGGAGAGGAGAUGGGUCUAAAUGGGACUACUACUUGUUGGGGCACUGAUGGUCUGUGUUCCUAGACUUAACGAGCAGAUUUGGUCAUUAUAGAUCUAAUUUCUUUCUUAUUAAGAUAGAAUUCUCGUAGGAAUGUUUUUCACUGUAUCCGUAGAGGGUGAAGAGAAGUAGUUUCUCAUCUUUUUGAUCAUCUGUGUUUCUCGAUUCCGAAGGUGUUAAGCCCACUCACUACUACUAAAAAGGUGUUGGUCAAGAAGGAGCCAAUGGGGUGGAUAACUUACUUGGGGAAUUGGUCAUAUCGGAAUAGGAGAUUUCAUGGGGCGAGCAACUCUUACUUUCAAACGGAAACCCUGAAACUGCAUUCGAGGUAAAAUACAAAGGAAGCAGGUGCAUUCGAGGUCAAAUAGAAAGGAAGCAGGCGCAAGGGAAAGGGAACAACCAUAAAGAAUAGGGUGCAAAAUGCACUAUUUAACCACUUUAGAAGUGUUAUGGCAAAUUACUCAUGUCAUACCCCAAUUGGGGCCUAUAAAUUCAUUAAUUACUAUAAUCUUUCUGGGCUAAUAAAGUCUACAUCGACAACUGAAUCAUAAGUGGAAAGUAUUGUUUCGGGUGUUGGUGCUUACGCUCUAAGUCUGCAAGUGAGGUUUGAUAGACCUAAGUGGUCAAGUGCCGGUGCUUCUGAAAGUAGUAAUCCAAGUUGUAGUGCUUUUGAAUCAGUAUGAGUUUACAGAGGAGAAGUAGAUUAGUUUACCCUUCUUUAAGUAGUGGUGCCUGUUGUCGAGUUAGAGUUGCCCUUAUAUUAAGUCCUGGGUUUCAGUAUUACCUUCCUUGCGUUGAGGCUGUCACUGCUGCUUCUCAUAACUACUAUAGUAAUAGAGAAUCAAAGUAGUAAGUAUCGGAUUGGAAAUAAGGAGUGAACUAACGCUUCUCAGCAUUAAGCUUAUAACAAGGAGGGAUUGUUUUAGGUUCAGUAGUGACAGAAACAGAUAAAUCAGUAGAAGCCUAUGCCCGUGGGGAAAGGAUCAGAAGCCAACUCAAGGGACUUCAACUCUCAAGUAAUAAUUCCAUAAAGAAUGCAGAACCAAACGGGUAAGUCAAAUGUUGAUCUAAGCCCGAUAUGUACUUGUGUUGAUCUAAGUCCGAUCCGAUAUGUACUUGUUGGUCUAAUCACGUGACACGCAUUAAAGGAAUGCGAGGGACAACUACAAGAGUGGAAGAGCCAAAGGUCAAAUACAUAAUUGGAGAUAGGAAUUUGCCAGAUAUAGUUUUGUAUUUAAUAGAAACAUAGGGUGUAAUUAGGGAAUCAGAGCCAGAGGUAUUGUUGGCGACAGAAAGAGAUAAGGUAGGUUUCAGAUCAGAAUAAGAUAAAGCGGAGUAUGUGUUUGGGAGCAAGGGAAGGCGUGCUAACUAUAUCUAUGAAAACAGAAUUUCAGGCAUAUGGGUGGAAGGCUCACUUCUCUGUUUCACUCCGCUUCGAUCAGGACUGCGAUAAGGUAGUGUUCGACUAACCUCUGAUGGGGUCAAGCAAGGCUUCAACGAAGGAAUGGAGAUCCAGAUAGUCUAAUAAGAUAAAGGAAUAUCCGUUUGAUAACUAUGUUUGUCGUUUUUAGGGCCCAUCUUUUGGGGCGAUAUUGAAGAAUCCGAGGUUAACAUAGGAUAUGAGAUCAGGAGAGACAGACAAAAACCAGAGCUAGGGAGUUUUGAGAUCAAGAGCGGUGGACUCGAGCUAACAAGUAAGGCUUGGGCUGUAUUAUCAUAUAGGUAAGUUUGUAGAGUUCGGAGUUUGUUUACUAUACUCUAAUUAGUGACUAACCUGUAACAUUCCAUUCUUAAAGCAACUGGUAGAUCAGGAGAAGCGAUGGAAUUAAUAUACUUUCGUUUUCGCCUUGUUAGCACUGGUGGUAUUCUAUGCCAUGAGCUAAAGCCUUAGUUUAGAGUUGCAUUCCUUAGGAUGAGUUUGAUUACUUAUGCCGGUGUUUUAGCCUGUUUUCUUUGUUAGAUGACGUUACUGCUAAAUUGAAUCCUGUGUUUCUUGGUUCUUAGAAGCUCUAUUCUUAUUGGACUCUUUCUUUUAGCGAUCGUGAACUCGUUCGUAGUUCGGUCGUGCACCAACUAAUUAUGAUUUCUCUAUUGAAUCAUGAAAUGUACUUAUUGAGUUAUGGUAUAGUAACACUUAUUAGUGAUUCAUUAGCAAAAUAAGGUAAUAAAGGGGUUAAUAUCGCAAUGCGUAACACAUACUAUUCUAAACACUCUUUUUGGUUCACUACCAAUUCUUUUGACUACUGUACUGAGUUCGAUUCUCGUACUAGAAGAGCUAGCCCCUUUCUUGUUAGCAGAGGAAUCUGAUCUGGAUGUUAGUAAGUCGGAUUUCUAUUUCUCUGGGGAAAAGGCAGAGUUUGCUACGUACUAACGAGAAUGAAAAACAGUAGAGUAUGGGCGCCCGGGAAGCCAGGUUCAUGCCUUGCGUCUGUAUUUAAAGAAUUCAAAGUAAGGCUGUUUGCUAGUGGCUCUAUUCUGUAUUUGGUAGUCCAAUCGGGUAGGUGAGAAAUCUUUGUUCUCAGUGGCAACACUGCCGCACGCAAAGACAACGGGGAUAAUAACUUAUAUUAAAUACAUGACCCUUCCCCUGCAAUUCCGUGUUCUUCUCUUUCGUCCUUGCUCCUAGUAUACGAGUUCUGACUUUCCAUUAUUAGGCUUAUAGCUUGAAUACUUUAUAAGUCAACUUCUUUUCUAUCUCUUGAAAACAGGUUUCCUCUUCUAUUAUUUGCUUUGAUCCUAACUGCCCGUCUUGCUUGACUUUAUCUAAGAAUAGGCUACCCCAGUCUAAUACCUUUCAUUAGAACAAAGAAUGUACUAAAUAAAGAAUGGACUAGUGCACAACGAGACUUACACUCAGAAAGUGGGCUUCCCCUACCUUAUAGCAUUAUGAAACUCACUGCUUUUAGUCUGCCAAGUCACUACAAACGACUAUCAGAUGCAACUUGCUACUAUAAGAGAAUGGAUCUACUGCUUCUAAGCUUAAGGCUCGGAACUCCCUGUAGUAGUAUGCUUAUUCGCUUAGAAAGGUCUCCUUGUUCACUUAGCCAGGUAUCCUCGUUAGAGCAUUUGUGGAAUUAUUACUUCUUUUAUUACUCUUAUACUGAUGACUGGGCUGCUCCUUCACUAGAUGCACUGGAUCGAUCAUACCAUACCCUAUAGAGGCUAUUGACUCCAACUUCCCAUACGUAUUCUAUCGGCUCUAACUUUACAUACCUAUUCUACUGGCUCUACUUUGAAUAAUGAUGUUGACCGAGCACCGCGCAAGAGCUAUCAUCAAAAGAGAAAAGAAAUAGACCCUUUGGGACCAAAAGGACAAUAGUGAUUCUAAUUCCAUUGAUAGCUAUGGUGCCAAUGUUAGGUAAACAGAACUCUGUAUUUGUUUACUAUCUAAUGUAUCCUGACUUUCCUGUUUCCUUCUUCAAUAACUUAUUCCGUGUUGGGUCUUAAUAAACUUCAUUCUGUGUUGGGAGUUGUUCUCUCAGCUAGGUGUUCUUUGAUGCAAGGCAAGGUAGAGUCAAUCAAUAGGGUGGGUUUUUCAGAGUAAAGUCAGUAAGUGGGUCUUUCAAGUCCACUUAUUUUCUUUGGGUAAGUAAGGGAAUAGUCCUUGGGUAAGUAAAUAGUCCUUGGGUAAGUAAGGGAAUAGCUUAGCUUGGUGUUACGCGGAGAAUAGAAAAGUAGAUGAAAGAUAUAGUAUUGAUAUUACAAAUCAGGUAGGCAGUUAAUCCUAUUCGCCUAGGAAAUGCAUAGGUUAUAUUACAUUUUGCUUAUACAAAUCAGAAUUCAAGACAGAAGUAAGAGAAUGGAAAGUGAGCAUCUAGUCUAGUGGAGCCCCGAGUAAGCAAGAAUUCACUGCAGGAAUGAUACCACCAAGCCUGGAUACUAAUGCUAACAGAGCGCUACAAGACUGAGUAGGUGUCCUGGGGUCUGCUCGUUUACUGAGUUACUGAUAGAGGUUUUCUAUUCUCAAUUCAGAAUGACAUUGUUGAUGUGCAAAAUAAGAAUGACAUUGUAGUAGUACUACCAGUGUGUUUAGCAUAGAAGGUUAGAGAGGGUAAAUAAAGAACUCAAUCAAUAAGUAACAGAACUCAACCCAGCGGCACAAGAAGAAGUAGGCGUAUAACAGCAAUCGACAGGUAACUAUGCCUAGGGGGGUUAAGCUGAGAACUUACAUUACUGCUCAAAAGCCUUAAUUCGUGGGGGCGCAGAUGAUCUUGUAACCACUGAUUCUCUGGUGACUAUUGGUUAACGCCUAUAACUCUCUAUCAGAUGUAUGGGUUCGGGUCCCUAGCCGGGCCGGAGGGAGUCAUUCGUUGAGAUCGAUUCUGCAAGUGUAGUUCGAGGUCUGUUAUGAAAGUCUAGUUCUUGCCCCAACUGGUAGUAUAUUAGUCUAAAGGUCGGGUCGGGUAGUUUAGGAAUUCAUAUGGGCUUGGUUCAAGAAGUCUUGCCUUAGAUGCACUGGUUGGGGUCUGUAACUACCUAUAAUAAGUCAAUUCUGAGUGGUACCGAUUUGAGUCUGAGCGGUAUGGGUUGCAUUCUUAGUAGCAGUAGUUGAAGCCUGUUUCUCAGUGCACUGAUUCUGGUCGGUAGUGGUUGAGGUCUGCCUAUACUCCUGGGUGAAAGCCUUCCUUGUGUGCUUUAGUAUUAUAGUAGCUUAGCCUCAUUCCACGGUCCCGUGUUUUAGUCUGCCCCCAAAAGCGAACUCGAAAGCUGACACUACCUAUUUCCAUUCUUAUAUGCGAGUGUUUGUAUCCCAUUAACAAUAAGAGUCUUUAGUUGUGACUUUUGAGUUGAAGUCAGCCUUUCCUUUAGCUUAUUCUUUUAUGGCUUAUACUGUUAUCUUAUUCUUUCAGUGUUAUACUGUUAUCUUAUGAAUCUAUUGCUUAUAUUUUUGUGCUGUGGUGUGCGCAUGAUGAUAAUUUCUCUGAUUGACGCAUAAGCCCUAAGGGGGCAAUCCAGAAUGAAAGAAGCAAGUAUCAGACCAAGCCCUACUCUAUGCCAUGCCCCAGCAGAACAAGCAUUAUUACCCGCAUACACUUGAAAACCAUACUUAAUAUAUAAUAAUUGGCUCAAGGUAAAGUUCAGAGAAUAAUUGUCAUUAAUAGAAUCAUAGUAAUUGGUUCCAAAGCGAAAUAAGAUAAUGAGUACGCCCGGAGUCCUAUAGCUCCAUUCUUGCUUGUCCACCCCGACAUUCUCCUUUUUGUUCUGAACCGACUUAACCCAUUAACGGAAUUGAUUAUGCUCCUUAUCUAGCUUAAACACUUGAUUGACCUGAUUGAGAGUCGACAACAAACACGGAUUUCUUUCGAACAGACAAUUCAGCAUCUUAUUCUGUUGAAACGGAUUCUUCCCUCUAUGAUUCGUACUCCAAAUAAUCACCUCUCUAGCAAACAGUAUAGCUUGAAGAUAAGUAAAGGCAAAGGUCUAAUGUUAUUAAUAAGAAAUUCACUAUAACAGCAUUUCGGGGUAUAUGAGUAGGGAUUUCCUCUAUUCUAAGUAAUUCGUUGCAUAUCGAGAUUCAUAUGCUUCUUCUGGAUUUAGUAGUAGAUCUCUGGGCUUGCAGUCAAGUCCGGCAAUGGUCUUUUUUCUACUAGCAUUCCGGGAGGGAAAUAAGACAGAAAGUCUAAAUGUAGAGAACUGCGUCAUCACGGCAGCGAAGGCGGAAGGUGAUUGAGCUCGCGUAUAGAAUGCUUUAUGUAAACUAAAACCCUUACUUUGAGCUAACGACUGAACAUAUAAGUAAUAAAAUAAUAGUAGUGUUUGGAAUAUUGUAUAAAUAUAGAGUCAACAACCCCUCCCUCCUAUUCGUUUUUCCAAAAGAUGUUCUAUAGUGGAGGUACAAGUCACAUUAAUUUGUUGACCGACAAGAAUCAAAGGGCAGGCAAAGGCACCAAUCAAGAAAUGAGAGAGUAUUUGUCGCACCGUUGAGUCCAAUUCCGAAGCGGAGCUAGUCCACUCCUUGAGAAUAAAGUGUAUAAGGCGAUUUGGGCUCAAGAUUUGAUGCAUGCAUAGUUUGGUUGGAUAAAGCGGAAAAGACUAGCCGAACUCUUAGAUGGGAUAUAACCCUAUUAACUGAUGUGUAGAAAUAUGUAAAGCUUUUAUGUCCUUUCCCUGGGGAGCCCGAGCCCUGGUUCCGUUCGCCCAGUUCUUCUUUCAUCAUAUACAGAAGCCGAAUCCGAAUCUAGCUCGAAGAGAAUGCCCACUCGGGGCGAGGAACAAGCACCAAAAGAGACUACCGCUAUCAUAUACCGCGCAGGAGAAGAACAGCCAUCAACAAAGUCAAGGCAAAUAGUUUAGUGUGUUAAUAAGUUCCUCUGGCCGACCACUACUCUGGAAAGGCAGGAAACCCAGAUUGAGAGUACUAAUACCUAUGCCCAUGUUCAAGGACUAAGGGCGAACCUCCGUUUCAAAUGCUAAUACAGAGCUUCUUUAUCGCUCACUUUAGCCUGCCUCUGAUUCAUUCUUAAAGCGCAGUGAGGAACUACAUUUUCUGAAUAAAUAUGAAGUCCGCCAUUGGAAGAAGCACUUCUUUGUCUUGCCCG
rnacentral:lncRNA from 1 species